rnacentral:lncRNA from 1 species
AUAUCUAACCUAAAGAUUCAAAAACUAGAGGGGGACUACUGAUGUAAUCAAUAUUAAAAUAAUAUUAAAAUCGGAUCUCAAUAAUCCAAAUCACAUCAAACUUCUAAUAAAGUGGUAGAAUCCUAAUUACAAUAGGAUAUUAUUCAUAUCAGAAUAUUAUUCUUAUCUGAUAGAAUUCUAUAUCCUAUUUCAUAUAGAAUUUCUUAUUCUAUCUUAUAUAGGAUUCUGUAUUUUAUACUAAAUAUAACUCUAUCAUCUUAUACACUUUUAACAAUAUCCAAACUCUAUCCAAUACGAGCUCACAACCUCUAUAAUCUGAUAUGUUAUUAUCUCAAUAGUCAAUUCAAUUAUUCAAUACCCAUACUGAAGUAAAUAUCAUAAAGGUUGUCAAGCCAAUCCACCCACUGUCCUCUCUUAUUUUUGAGGUUCAUACCCAAAGAAAUAUGAUGCGUACAACAUCAAUAAGACAUUACACGCCCGUGUGUCGAAGUUUAUGUCAUCUGCUGACCUGAAGUUCUGUUGAGGCAUGAUGCAAUAUAAGCUAUGACUUAAACCCGUGUUGCUCCUCAUAUCGCGCGAAAUUCCUACUAUUCUCAACUUGGUAAUUUUUCAGCUGGGAUUUGAUAAUCUAGGCAAAAAUUCAAUUUGUAUCCUACUAUAUUUUAAAACUUUUUUAGUUCCAUUGUUUAGAUGGUAAUUAAAUAAGUUUUUUUUUGUUUUGUAAUUAAUUAAUUAGUGAAAAUUAAAAUACUAAGAUAAAAAAUUUAUAUAAAAUUACAUUAAAAAAAAAUUAAUUUAUAUAAAAUGAUUUCAAUAUUAUUAAAUUAAAACUUAUUAAUAUAAUUAAAUAUUUAAUUAACAUUAUAAGACAUAUAUGAUAUGUUUUGUUAAAUAAAUAAAUAAAUAAAAAUAUUAUUAAAUUUUAAUUUAUUGAAAUUAAUUUUUUUUUAUAAUUAAGAGAUCUCAAAUUUAAACUGUAUAUAAAAAAAAAAUUUACAUAUAUACAACCUAAACAACUAAACAUUAUCAUUUGAUUGCAAUUUCCUCCUUUAGUUUCUGACAAUACAACCUCAGGGCUGUCUUCUCUUGUCUCCUUUAGAACAGGGUGUUUUAACAGUUUGUGUCCCUUAACGUCUACUUGAAAUUAAGCUAGCUUCCUUACUUAGAUCAAUCUUGAAGUUGUUCAGCAAAAUGCUACUUUUGCGUAUUAUGUUUCGACAAAAAAAGAAACUGUGCAUCUUUAUCUUCAUUCUCAGAUAUUGGUAGCCCUAUUGAACUUAUUAAAAUUAAUUUGUAAAAAUUUUCCAAAGAUGUUAGAAAAAUAAUUAAAGACGUAUAUGUGCAGGUGACUUUCUUUGAUGUAGAAGCUGUCUGCUUACUUUUAGUUGUAUUAAUUUAUAAUUCUAGUAAAAGCUGUAAAUAUAUAUAUUUAAAGUUAAUUUAAAUGGUAUAUUUAAAUAAAUUUAAUAAGUAGAUCCAAAUAAAUCUGAUUAAUUUAAUAUUCUAAAUUUUUUAUUUUCAUUUAAAAAAGUAAAGAAAGUUUAUUUGUACUCCCAUGCCUGAAAAAAUAAGUGCGGACAGUAGCUCGUCACUACGUGGAACGUGUGUAAUAUGUGAAUAAAACUUAUAUAAAAUUAAUAAUUUUAUUAAAAUUAUUAUGAUUUUAAUAAUAAUUUUAUUUUAUUUCUGAGUUUAGCGUGUAUUUAUUUUGAAUAAAAACAUAUAUAAUAUGAUAACUUUCAGAUCUUUUUUAGCCCAGGAAUAAGGUUGGGUCCAAAAGAAGGCCACAGGUCCAAAGCCCAUCAGAUCAUACGCUCAAGAGGCGGCUCGACUUCACGAGCCUGGGCCGGCAACCCAGGGUGAUCUGGAUCAGAUAUGAGCACAAGCCCCAUAAGAGAGUAGGCCCAAUCACUCACCAGCCCUACCCGCAUGCGCUCUGGAGAGCAUUAAAUGGUCGUUACGCAUGGAGCAGGUGCCUGAUACAACCGUACGUACGGGCCUUAGUGAAAAGGACAGGAAGCACUAUAUACUGGAGGGUCUUCUCCUUCAAGGGGAACGCUCUCUCUCCUGCUCCUUCUUCCUUAACUCCAUUUUUCUUAUUCUCUCUUUGCAACUCUUGCUUAUCCACACUACUCUAGCUCGUAAAUCUGACUUAAACGUCGGAGGGUCUCCGCCGGGGCAUCCCCGGUGGACCCCUGACCCCCUUUUCCCUUAUUUUGCAGGUCCUUUCCUCAAAGAGAAUAUGGAGAGACCCAUUUGACAGACCCAUCAGAGAGCCCAAAAAGGAAUCAGAUCCAUAUAAUAGGGGACGAGGGAGAACCAGAUCUAUCGGAUAUGGAGCCCAGGGAGAUUGAGAGUUAUCAAAUGGCGCCGUCUGUGGGAAAACGAAAGAGAUUUUACUAUCUCAAAGUUUUCAGAUCCACCCAUUGAGAUCCACAUAAGGUAUAAAAGUUUGAGCGGAUAACUCAGCUGAAAAGAAAGGUUUAUUGUGCUAAAGAAUAUUUUGAUGGUUUUUCAGAUAAUUUAUUUUAAUAUUUAUUAGAUUUUAUUACGGCUGAUUUUUUCUUUGAAGCCUGAUGAAUAUUUUCUGUAAAAGGAAAAAAGGACGAGUAAUAUAUGUAUUUGUUGAAAUUCUGAGGUCGGCUAUAUAUAUAUAUAUAUAUAUAUAUAUAUAUAUAUAUAUAAAGACGAGAGAAAGAGAAGAGGAGUCUGUGAGAAAAAAGGAGGUCGGAGCCAUGUUUAGCAAGAUAGAAAGGAACUCGACAAAUCCGACGACCACAGCGAUAGAUUGCUCGUUGAGGUCGGAUCCAUGUUCGAAAUUAGAUUCGUGGUCAAGGUCGAAGCCGUGUUGGAGGUUGGACUCACAUUUCAGGACGGAUGGAAAGCAUCGGGAUGACAAGGAGACAAUACAAAAUUAUCAGAGGCCCAAACUAAUCGAAGAAGAGAUUCGGGUUAUACGUGUUGGCCAGCUUGAAGACGGAAAAAUGCAUGAGGUCAGCGCGACGCAGAAAUGGACCGGAUAGACAGACGUGAUGGUGCCACAGACACGUCGAUCUGAGGAGGAAGUCGCUGGUCUGGUCGAGCUCCAACAAGUGAGGUCGGCGCAACGAGUCCUCCCAGAUCUACUCUUCGUCUCCGUCAAAAGCUUCCACAGAGAAGGAAGGAAACAAAGCUCAGUUAUAUACAGAGGAAGGAAGUAGGCAGGAUUUCGCUCUGCUUCAUGGAGGAGAAGCUAAUUGAAAGGCUCGAAUCGGCGGUGGUGCGGCUAGAGGCGCUGUCUACGUCGGCGUUCAGGGACCACAGAGUUUCGAACUUUAGUGGAGCUGAUGUGACCAUCGAUCCAUCAAUUGUGGCAUUUGACGAUCUAUUGGGACAAUUCUUUGGUAGGGUUUUGGCUGCGGAUGAGAAGAUUGGUGGACAAGUGUUGGAGGUUACAAAGAUUGCGCAAGAAGCUUUUAGUGUUCAGAAGGAGCUUCUCAUUAAGGCUAAGCAAACUUAGAAACUUGAUUUUGCGGGAUUGGCUGAAUUUCUCAAGCCAUUUGAAGUCUGCUGCGGACGGUCUAACAGCUUUAGCAUGGAUUGCUUGUAUAGGGAAAGAUUUGGUAUGAGCAUGCCUAGCGCACAUGUUGAAGAAAGUUGACAAAUGGCUGGAUUUUACAACAAUAAGGGUACUCUUGAAUUCCAAUAAUGCACGCUUUCCAAGGAUGAAGAAAUCAAGCACAUCACUUUCUUCCGCAUUUUCUUUGCUCUAUCCGCAAAAUUGUUGUGAAUUCCAAUAAGAAUCAUGAUUUAACAUUUCGUCCGUAUGUAAAUGUGGAGGUCAAUCGGCCAGUCGGAGUAGCAAGACCGAAAGGAGCUCGGACUGCAGCAGGUCGGCCAAAUCUCGAAAUUAUUAAUUUUUCAAGAUUGAGUUUGAGGGAAUUGCAGUAAAGUGACACGUCAACGCAACUCAUACAAAAGUGGUCGACAUGGCUCUUAAUUACUGGGAGGUAAGUAUCUAAAUCCUUUAUAAAUAUUACAACAAUGCCAUUAUAAAUGAUUUUCUAAAAUUAGCUUACCCAUAAUUCACUCCUAUUACAAGCAAUUAAUUACUAUCAAUCAUUACAGCUGGACCAACCUCAAAAUCAAUAGUCUUUUAUGCUACUUUCAUUUAUCGUUUUGCAGUUAUUAUUGAUCACAGAAUUAUAAAGUGCAAAUAAUACUUACACUGUUCACAAUAUUUUACAUGAUCGAGCAUAGUAUUUUAUAAAUUGAAAACGGAAAUAUAAAGUUAAAGUGUCUUGGGCGACAUACUAUUUAUUGAUGAAUAUUAUUGAAUUAACAAUGAGUCUUCUCGUUAUAUACGCUCUGUGCAAACUUUUAUUUUGCAGAAAAAUUCAGAAAAAAGAGUAAGGCCAAUGAGCCUGAAUCUUGCGCAAGACCUCAGUGAGGUAGGUGGCCGGGCUCCAAAAAGGCCCCCGGCACCACAAAACCGGCCGAGAUGACGAAGCGACAGUAAGGCCCAAGAGCCUGAAUCCCAUGCAAGGCUAAAGAGCCUGGAAGCGACAGUAAGGCCAAAGAGCCUGAAUCCCAUGCAAGGCUAAAGAGCCUGGAAGCGACAGUAAGGCCUAAGAGCCUGAAUCCCAUGCAAGGCUAAAGAGCCUGGAAGUGACAGUAAGGCCAAGAGCUUGAAUCCCAUGCNNNNNNNNNNNNNNNNNNNNNNNNNNNNNNNNNNNNNNNNNNNNNNNNNNNNNNNNNNNNNNNNNNNNNNNNNNNNNNNNNNNNNNNNNNNNNNNNNNNNNNNNNNNNNNNNNNNNNNNNNNNNNNNNNNNNNNNNNNNNNNNNNNNNNNNNNNNNNNNNNNNNNNNNNNNNNNNNNNNNNNNNNNNNNNNNNNNNNNNNNNNNNNNNNNNNNNNNNNNNNNNNNNNNNNNNNNNNNNNNNNNNNNNNNNNNNNNNNNNNNNNNNNNNNNNNNNNNNNNNNNNNNNNNCCGGUGAGGAUCUUAAAGACCUCUCGGAGCACGAAGACCGGGAUCCCCUAGAACUCCCGGGAAAACAAAACAAAAACGGCCGGUGAGGAUCUUAAAGACCUCCCGGAGCACGAAGACCGGGAUCCCCUAGAACUCCCGGGUAAACAAAGAAAACCGGGAUCCCCAGAAUUCCCAGAAAAACAAAGAAGACCGGGAUCCCCAGAACUCCAGGAAAAACAAAACAAAGUUCACAGCGGAUUCAAUAGAAGACCUCAAUGAGGUCCUGGCAAAAGAAGACCUCAAUGAGAAGACCUCAAUGAGGUCCUGGCAAAAGAAGACCUCAAUGAGGUCCAGGCAAAAGAAGACCUCACUGAGAAGACCUCAAUGAGGUCCUGGCAAAGAAGACCUCAAUGAGGUCCUGGCAAAAGAAGACCUCACUGAGGUCCUGGCAUGAGAAGACCUCAAUGAGGUCCUGGCAAAAGAAGACUUCACUGAGACAUAAAGACCUCAGUGAGGUAGAAGACCAGGAUCCCCAAGAUCUCCUGGAGUGAGAAGACCUCUCUGAGAUAUAGAGAUCUCAGGGAGGUAAAAGACCAGGAUCCCCAAGAUCUCCCGGAGCAAAAACGGCCGGGAUCCCCAAGAUCGUCCAGUGCCACAAGCAAAAACAACUCAUAAGAACAUAGUUCCGAUCUCACAUAAAAGAUUGGGGCACGGGACCAUAAAUGAAAAGCUAAACUCCGACCUUCCAAAGGACCUCGAGUCAUCAGGUAGAGAGACUUUGAUCUCACACAACAGCCAAAAGUACCAAAGCAUCAUGCCGAUCUCAAGAAAACGAGCGCAGUACUGGUAAACCCAAUAAGACAGACCGAAUUAAGGCAAGGCGAUUCCUAAGCAAAAUGUAUACCAAAAUACAAAGCCAAACAGAGAAUCAGGGGCAAUCAUAAGAGGCACCGAACUCGAGAAUUGACCGCUCACACUAAACCAACUCAGCUGACCUAGAGAGAGGUCCAGGCAACAAAGAGCCCGCAAAACGCUCGAGAGCAGACAACCCAUAAAUACUCGGGGGCAAAAAACAUACACGAGAGUCCAACGCUCAGAUAAAGAAUCAAGAAGGCAAGACGGUCAAAUCCAAAACAGAUAGUCCGACCUCUGCAAUCCAAGGUCGACCUUCCCAGAAGCUUGGAGGGGCCUCACAUCUGGAUCGGCAAGGCUAUAAGCCUAUAAAAGAAAAGUUAAAACCGAACAAAUGAACAGUCAGACUGAAACACAGCCCGAAUAAGGCUCGACAAGAAAGCAAGAAAUUAAGUCCGACUUCACAAAAGAGCUCGGGGCACCAAAGUGAAGAAAGUGAAAUUCUGAACUUCGGAGCUCGCGAUAUAGGCAGCAUCACAGGCUAUAGGCACAAAAGCCUAAGCAAAAAGCAAAGAACCGAGCUCCCAGCUCGGAUGAACUCGCAACAGGAAAACACUCAAGUAGAAUAAAGCUAAAUACAGAAGAAAUAACAGAGAAUCAAGCUCCCUCUAUGAAAAGGCCCACAAAUGCAGGAACGCAUAAAAGGAUAAACGAAGGCGAAGGACUAUGCUCACAGCUCGGAUUAAUUCACAAUAAACAAACAUUCAGCAAGAAUAACCCAGGAAGAGGAAAACAACAAAAGAACGAGUACUCUAUCCUAGUGGAGCUCACAGCUCAAACCGCACCGACUACCAGAAGGUUAUCUCAAGAGGAACAAGAUAUUAUAUUCCUAAGCUCGCAACAAUGACGAGAUUGUGAGUCAAAAACAGAAAGACCCUCAUGAGAAUAAGAAAAACUCGCAAUUCAGAAGCUUAACCAGACUCCGAGCUCUUAGCCCGGGUCAGUUCAACCAGCAGAGUCCCAGUAGAGCUGGCCUGGUCCAUCAAAUAAGUAAAGUUGACAAAACUAGAAGACAGCGUGAGUAGAAAAUAAUGAUGAGGCACAGGCCGAGGUGAAAUAUCAUUCAUCAUCAAAUACACAUCUCCAGAUCGCCAUACAUUUAAACACGAAGGUAAAGGGAUAAAGAAAUAAGGCAAGUAAAGGACGUUUUGACAAGAGCCGUUCUCGAGCUGCACGGUCAUUAGUGGAGCCUAAGUAUUUACCCCCUCACCAGUCAUGGAAUAACUGCUGAGGAGGUAAAGGGGCAAUUGAUAACCUCCAGAUCUUUCCUAGCCCAGGAAUAAGGUUGGGUCCAAAAGAAGGCCACAGGUCCAAAGCCCAUCAGAUCAUACGCUCGAGAGGCGGCUCUACUUCACGAGCCUGGGCCGGCAACCCAGGGUGAUCUGGAUCAGAUAUGAGCACAAGCCCCAUAAGGGAGUAGGCCCAAUCACUCACCAGCCCUACCCGCAUGCGCUCUGGAGAGCAUUAAAUGGUCGUUAUGCAUGGAGCAGGUGCCUGACACAACCGUACGUACGGGCUUGAGUGAAAAGGACAGGAAGCACUAUAUACUGGAGGGUCUUCUCCUUCAAGGGGGACGCUCUCUCUCCUGCUCCUUCUUCCUUAACUCCAUUUUUCUUAUUCUCUCUCUGCAACUCUUGCUUAUCCACACUACUCUAGCUCGUAAAUCUGACUUGAGCGUCGGAGGGUCUCCGCCGGGGCAUCCCCGGUGGACCCCUGACCCCCUUUUCCCUUAUUUUGCAGGUCCUUUCCUCAAAGAGAACAUGGAGAGACCCAUUUGACAGACCCAUCAAAGAGCCCAAAAAGGAAUCAGAUCCAUAUAAUAGGGGGCGAGGGAGAACCAGAUCUAUCGGAUAUGGAGCCCAGAGAGAUUGAGAGUUAUCAUAAUAAAUAAUCAUCUAAUUAAUUAUAAAUUAAAAUAUUAUAUUAAUUUGUAGAUUUAAUAUAUUUUAAAUAUUUUUUUAAUUUUGUAUAAUGUGUCAAUUUUAAGGUAAAUGAGUUUAUGUGUAUUAUUAUUAUCUUUAUAAAUGAUUAGUAUUAUUGUUGUAUGCGAAUAUAUCUUCUAAAUUCUGUUGUAUUAUUGUUUAAAAAAAAAAAAAUCCUGUUGUAUUAAUUCACAAAGCAAUUUUAUACCAAUUUUGUUUUUGUUUUUGUUUUGUAACGCUUAUAAGAAUCAUGAUGAGCUGUCUUUGAUGAUGAAUUAUUCUCAUUUUCUAAAAAUAAAAAAAGAUAUAUAAAUUAAAUUUGUUAAGAAUAAAAAAGAUAAAUAUGAAGGGGGUGUUCUAAAAAUGAAAUAAUUAUAUUAAUUAAUUGGUAAAUUAAGAAAAUGAUUCAUCAAUUUAAGAACACUAAUUAACCAUUAUCCACCAAUAGAAGACAUUACAUCUAUAAUGGCUUGUCUGUGUUCUUAGACAAGGGAAAAAUGCUUACUUGGACUUAGAUUGUCAUUAUUUGUAUUUAGCUAAACUUUUAUUUAAAUAACAAUUUACUUUAAUCUACCUAAUUACAAUGUUUAUAAAAAAAGACAAAAUUAAUCCACUCAAAUUAUUAACUUUCAAUCCAGAGUUUUUUUUUUUUUUUUAAAAAAAAUCAUACUAACAUAACAAACUAUGAUGAACAUGUUAAGAAAAUUAUUAAUAAUAUAUUUUUUUUAAAUAAACUAAAUAUAUAUAUAUAUGCUUUAAAUGUGAAAUAUAUACUUGCUCUCUCUUCAUUGGUAUCGAUCUCAGUAAAAAGUGUAACUUACAAUAACUACUUCAUAUACCCUUAGCCAAUCACAUUGCAGCCGCCACAACAGCUUGCCAACAACUUAACAACAGCUCUCCCUCCCCCUCUCUCCUUUCUUAAGCUACUGAAUAAAUAUAUUUUUACUUUAUAGUGUAAAAUGUGGAGAGAGUUAAAUUAGAUCACCUGUAUUUCAUUUUAGAAAAUUAUUAAAAAUUUUAGUUUAUUAAUACUUUCUAAAAUUGAGAGAUGAUAUUCAAAUAAAUUAAAUAAAAUCAUGAAAUUUAUUUUUGUUCAUAAAAUAUUAUUUUUAAUAAUAAAUAUUAUUUUCUUAAUGUUAAAUAUUGAAAUUAUUUACUAUUUUUAUGCUUAUAUUCUUCUAGAGUUUUUAAGUGAUGUCAUAUAUAAUAAAAUCUCAAGUAUUCCAAAAGCAUGACGUAUUGAAGUAAUCCCUUCCCUUGUGUCGUAUAUGCACAAGGAACCCAUUAUAAUAACUGCAAGUAAGUAAAUAGAAACAAGAGCAUUCUACGUAUAAUGCCAUGGCUAAUUUAACUUCAAGGUCCUAUUUUCAAUUGUGGGUUAUCGCUGCAUUUCUUCUCUUCCAAAAUACCAGCACAAGUCAUCUACCCUCUCCAGAGAAUCAUGCUCCUUUAUUCAUUUUUGGAGACUCUCUAUUUGAUACUGGAAAUAAUAACAAUCCCACAAGUUCAGCUUGCUACUGGCCCUACGGUGAAACAUUCUUCAAGCAUCCUACUGGGAGAGCUUCUGAUGGUCGAUUGAUUCCAGAUUUUAUCGGUAUGGAACUUAUAUUUUUCUCUAAUUGUAGGUUUAUAUAUACAUUGUAUAUGAUUCCCGACCAAAAAAAAUAUUAUAUAUUGCAGCUGAAUAUGCCAAGUUACCGUUCCCUCUACCAUAUCGUCAGACCAGAAAUCGUCAACUGAGGUAUGGAGUGAACUUUGCAUCAGGAGGAGCUGAAGUUCUGGGUGUAAAUCCUGAUAAAAUUGUAUGUGAUCUUCCUCUUGUCAUUCAUACUUUGCAUCUUUUUGUGGUUUGGUCGUCGGAGAGGAUUGAGUUGAUUUAAUAUCUUUACUUUCAAAAAUAGAUAAUACACCUUAAAGGUCAGCUUAGUAAUUUCAAGAAUGUGAAGAAACGGCUAAGGCAUAAAUUAGGUGAUUCAGAGACCGAGGCAUUGUUGUCCAAAGCCAUUUACUUAUUCAGCUUUGGAACCAAUGACUAUGCGAAAGUCACCGACGAUUUCAGUGUACUGCAUUACUACUCUAGCGAAGAGUACGUAGGGAUGGUCGUCGGCAACUUCACGACUGGGCUCAAAGUACGUACACAUAUGAUCACUUGCUAGUAUAUAUAUAUCCCAUGUUCAUCUACAGUGUGGUGUUUCAGGAAAUAUAUAAGAAUGGAGGAAGGAAAUUCGCAUUUGUAAGCUUGGGGGCUGUGGGUUGUCUACCCAACAUGAGAGCAAAGAAUUCAUCAGGUGGCUGCAUGGAACAGGUUACUGUUCUGGUGAAACUGCACAAUAAGGAAUUUUCCUAUGUGCUUAUGAAGCUACAGAAACAGCUACAAGGAUUUAAAUAUUCAAACUUUGAUUUUUACAACUCUUUAAGUAGAAGGAUAAAGCACCCUUCAAAAUAUGGUAUAUAUUAUCAGAAUGCAGUUUUUUAUUUUUUCUUUUUCUCUCUUUAUCUGAGGCCAGAAUUGUGAGAUCUCUUCUCUGAUUUGCAUUGUGAAGGUUUCAAGGAAGCGAAAACAGCAUGUUGUGGCACAGGGCCGUUCAGAGGAAUCACAAGCUGUGGAGGUGUAGGAACGCCGAUCAAAGAGUUUGAAGUGUGUGAUGAUCCGAGUGAAUAUUUGUUCUUUGAUUCCCAUCCAUCGGAGAAGGCCAAUCAUCAGUUUUCGAAGCUCAUGUGGAGAGGAAGUGUUGAUGUGACAAGGCCUUACAAUCUUAAACAACUCUUUCAACUCUAGCCCAAGUAUCAAUCCUUAAGAGCCAAGUGUUUUCAUAAGUAUAAAUUAUAAUAAAAGAGGAUGAAAAAUGCAAGGGAAAAAUAGAUGCCGUUGCUUAAUUCCUCAAUUUCAAUAUCUAUUUGGUGUUACAAUGUGAAAUAGAUAUCCAAUGCUUCUGUUUUAUUAAUGAUAUUAUUUGUGAAAAAUUUAGUAUAAAGACCUCCAACUAAGACCAAGCCAAUAGGCCUCUCUCAUUCACCUGACUAAGAGGUCUUGUGCUUAGAGAAAAAACCUAGAUCAGUCCAAAACAGAUAAGAAGCAGCAGCAAGAAUGGCAGAGCUGAAAACAGAACAACCAACUAAUAAACAUAACAUAUUAGCAAAGAUGGAUUACAGGUGUUUUUUAAUAAAAUUUAAGAUAUUUCAAAAAAUUUAUAUCUCAUACAAAUUAGAUAAAUGAGUUCUAAUUAUUGAACUUAUAAAAAAAAUGGAGAAAAUGCGCGCUUACGCCCAUAAAUUAGAUCAAAAAUUUAAUUUCAGUUUAAAAUCAUUGGUUUGUCAAGGUGAAAAUAAUUUAACUAAUUUAUAUGAUUUUCUAAAAUAUAUAGUUGUUGCAACUAUUAUUUUCAUUAAAUUUUUCUCAAUACUUUCAAUAACUCUAUUUUGUAAUUAUAAAUAGGUCUUAUUUUCACAAAUUUAUACACAUUCAUCUUUUUUAUUGCUCUUUGCUCCUCUUUCUCUACUCUUUCUAUUGGGUUACACUUAUUACCCUGCUGUUCUACUCCUAAAAAUUAUAUUCUAUAAGAACUUGUUCAAUCUUGAAAGUUAUCAAAUAUAAAGGUGUUUCAUCAGAAAUGUGUUAACUUUUAUUUAUCUAAAGAGUCUAAUAUGAUGAAAUGUUAAAGUGCUUUGUCAGAGAGGUAUUGACUUUUAUUUAUUUGAAGAGUUUAAUCGGAUGAAAAUUAAAAAGGAGAUUAAUUAAUUAUAAAUACAUUCAAAGGAACCAACUAAUUUCUGUAGGAAAAUUGACUGCCUAGCCAAUGAGUUUCAUAAGUAUCAAAAGCACUUGCUCCUUUAAAGCAAAAUUUGACGCCGUAAGUGGAUUCUGCACUCUCGUUGAGGGCUGGCUUCACCUCUUCAGCUGUGCUGUCUUCUUCUUCAUUUUUAUUUAUUUAUAUUAAUUUUAUGAUGUGAUAACAAUUAAACUACCCAAUUUUUUUUUAUUAGCUUAUUAACUAAUUUGACUUCUUUUGGUAGAAAACAAAGAACCUUAAUUAACACUACUAUAAUUGCUGAGGAAAAUAUUGUAUUUAAUUAAUAAAACUAAUUAUACAGACUAAUUUAGCCCUUCAUAAUACAGUACAAGCAAAUCUAGUAUGAUGAAGGCAAUUUUAAAUUUACAAAAAUAAAAUAAAAUAGAAGUUUUUGCUUUUUUUGAAAAUCCAGGCAGUUUUACAGUUGCAAAAAAAAAAAAAAAAAAAAAAACAUUUUGAUAAAUUGGAGAGUAUGCAUCCAUGAAAAUGGCAGAAAAUGAGGGAAGUCUGAAGAAAAACAAAACAGGACAAAUACCCAGCUCUCUCCAAACAGGCCCAAGGUUUCUUAUAGGAUUCUUGUUGUUAAUUGGAAAAAAAGAUCUUUACUUUAUUGGGCCUAUAUAUUUUUUAAUUAUUUUUUAAAAAAGAAAAUAUUAAAGGAAAAUAUGAUUUUGAGUUCUAAUUAAACUUUAUGAGGCCGGCCCAUGCAAGAACCACUGAUUGUGCAGUAUUUGUUUGCAUAUAUACUAGCAAAUAAACAGAGAAAAAUCUUAAAAAUAUAAAAACAACCCUCGAGUGUUUGGAUUUGAAAUAUGAACCUCUGUGCUCAAGUGUUUACAACAUGUCUUCCUUAACUGUGGCUUUGGAGCCUACUGAGGACGGCAUUGGAGGAAUACUUUGUAGAUUACUAAAAACAUUAUCUGGAUCAAUAAUUGUCUUAGCUCUUACCAGCCUAUCAAAAUUUUUCAAGAAGUAUUUUUCACCCCAAACCCUAGCUGCCUCCACAGCAUCCCGAGAUGGGACCCUCAUUUUAAGCAUCUUCAUUACUCCAAGGUCAAAGUCCAUGUAGUUGAUGUAAGCAGCCCUUGGACCCCAUGACGCAAAUGGUGUCAUUGAAUUAUAAAAUUCUCUUACCCAAUCUAUGUACUCUUUGCUUUUGUUGUUAUCCUUCUCUUUCCAUUCAACCAUGUACUGAAUUGCGAAGAGGUUACCUUUUCUGUGAGGAAAGGCUAUGGCUUCACCGCUUAUUUUGUCCAUCAUCCCACCAUAUGGGUCUAAUAUAACAUACCCUUUUGGCUCCUUUUCAAGAAUAUCAAGGGCACCAUUUAUACCAGCUAGAGAAAUUUCCCUCUUCACAUAAUCUGAUUUUGCCUUGAAGUAUUGCUUCCCCUGCAAAUAUCGGUUUUUCAAGUCGGAGACUGAGCUUCCUUUGCUUAGGCCUGAGAAGAAUAGAAUGGAUUCAAUCCAGCUCAUUUCUUUGCAAUCUUCCUCCAGGAUACCCAGUUCAGGGAAGAUCUUGUUCAGGAUAGCCAUGGCUUCAUUUCUUGGACCUAAGAAGAAUCCUUUAAAUGUAGCUGAUAUUCCUGGAGUUUUAGUUUCUGGCAAACCGGCACCCACAAAACAUGACACGUAAAAGUCACCAUCCAAUCUCGGCGCAACGUAUUGCCAUUUGUUUAUUAACUUAGCAACAUGAGUUUUAGUGCCAGGUCUAGAGACUGUAAAACAAGUCACUACUUGCGGCACCUUCAGCAACUUUAUUUUCCAAGCGUAAACGAUCCCCCAGACGCCUCCUCCACCACCUCUUAUGGCCCAAAACACGUCCUCUCCCAUGGCUUUUCGGUCCAACAACCGCCCUCUGGCAUCAACAAGAAGUGCGUCAACCACGUUAUCAGCUGCAAGUCCAUAUUUUCUUGACAAUAAUCCAAACCCACCUCCCCCAAUGUGACCGCCAACUCCAACGGUUGGGCAUGAACCUGCUGAGAACCCAUGAACGCUGCUUGCCUCAGCAAUCGCUGAAUAUGUCUCACCAAGCGUUGCACCACCUUCCACAAAUGCUACUUCACCUUCCAAUUCCACUGAAACCUUGUUCAAAUUCAUCAUGUCUAUAAUUAUAAAAGGAGCUCCAUCGCUGGCUACAGAUGAAGUCCCUUCGUAGCUGUGGCCACCACAUCUUACCCUAAUUUCCAACAACCCUUCCCUACAACACGUCACAGUCUUCACUAGCUGGUCCACACUUUCUGGCUGGACGAUGGCCAAUGGCUUAGGAAUCGUGGGUUCUGCAAAGCGAAGAUUUUGAAUUGAAAAUUCAAGGAGAUUAAAGUAAGCUGUGGAGUCAUUUUCUGUACUAGGAAAGAAGGUGAAGUUGGUUAUGUGAUUAUAAGAUAAGCAAGAAGUUAACUGGUCAUGAAGAGCACAUAGAGGAGGGGCAAGAAGAAAAAAAAUGAAGAUGAAUAGAAAAGAAGGAAUUGCAGGAAGGAAGUUAACCAUGGUUGAAGACGAAGGCUUUGAGAAGAUUGGAGAGGAGAACAAAAGGGUUAUAUUGAAGAAAGGGGAAUCGUGUGAAUCGUAGAAGACAAAAAGAUGGAGAAAUCAAGGUUGGAGGAGAGAACAUAAAAAUUGGCCGGCCAUUUUUAAUAUUUGCUAGCUUAGGUAAGUGGAACUUCUCUUUCCUGUUUCCAAAAAAGACGUUGUCCAAAAACUAAACUACACAACAAGUGACUAGUAAACCUUAGUGUUAUGAAAACGCCAUGUGAGAACACCAAUUGAAAGAACCUGCAAGACGUAACUAUAUAUACAAAGAUAACAUGAUUGCCGAUGCCAAAUUCGUGAGAAAUUAUAUAAUUCCUCACAGUACCAUGUAGAUUUUUUAGUUGGCACGACAAUUCAUUUGUUUUUUUUUUAUUUUUUAAAUCUUUUUAUUUUUUAUUUUUUUAUUUUUAUGAUAUUCAACAAUUAAUUGGAAUCUAAAAUCAGCCCCAAAUUGAUGGGGCUGUGAAGGGAUUGGUGGCGACCAUUGGCCCCUAAAAUUUCUCAUAUUCAAUUCCUUUCCUUUUAUGUACUUAUUAAGUAAUUAUAGAAAUAUUCGGAUAAGUUUAUUUAGUUGCUUCCAAUAUCCAUAAUUUCCUUAUAAUUUUUAUUUCAUAGCUUUAAUAUUAGUUUCCUAUUAUUAUAAUUUUUCCUAUUAAAUCAAAAUAUUACUAUAACUACUUCUAAUAAAUCUAGAAUCAUCUAGUGUAGCUCUAUCAAAAUAAUUAUUCAAUUAUUUAAAUUAAUACUAAUUAUUUACUAAACAUGCUUAUUUUAAAUUUCUACUUAUCUCCACUGUCAUGAAAACUAUUUUGUUUUUCAGGGAAGAAAAUCUUGCUAUUGGUUUCUAAAAUAUUUUUCAAAUACUUGUCAUCAUCCUAUUGGAAAAUCUAAAUAUUUAUUAAAUUAUUUUUUAAAUCAUUAUCUUGAUUCUAAUAUUUAAACUAUCAUAUUAUAUUAUUUUUAGCAAAAUACACUUGUUUAUAUUUCUGUUUAUAAUUGUCCCAAAUAUUAUCGACUUUCUUUUCUAUUUUAAUUGUACUAAAAAUUAUUAUAUAUUGAAUUAUAUAAUUGAUAUAUUUAUAAAUUAUAUAUUGUAAUAUUAUAGAUGAAUUAUAGAAUAUAUUUUAUUAUUUUUAUUUUAAAUGUGAUAGAUUAUAAUUUUCUAAAAAUUAAAUAGAACAUAAAAUUUAUUAGUAGUAAUUAUUUUAUUUUUAAUCAAUUUUUAUAAAAAAAUCAUUUAAAAUGAAAAAGAAUUUUAUUUUAUUUUUAAAAAAUAUGUAAUGUUACAUAACAUAUUAAAAUUAUUAUUUUAAUGUUCAGUUUUAUAAGGUGAAAGGAAUUUUUUUUAAUUAAGUUAACAUAAAUCAAUCGAAAAGGAAAAAACAUUUUUUUUGUUUAUUUUGAAAAAUAUGUUUAAUAUUACUUCUCAUAUUAAAAUUAUUAUUUUAAUUUUUCAGUUUUAUAAAGUGAAAAGAAUUUUUUAUAAUUUACUUGAUUUUUAAAUUAAUUUGAAUACAUAUCAAUUUAAAAUGAAAAAAACAUUUUUUUAGUUUAUUUUGAAAAAUAUAUUUAAUAUUACAUCACAUAUUAAAAAUUAUUAUUUUAAUUUUUCUAUUUUAUAAGGUGAAACUACCUCUUUUUUAUUUUAAUUGAAUUAUAAUGAACUAAAAAAUUAAUUUUAAGAAUUUAAGUACAAAAAGGUUAAAAGAUUUUAGAUUUAUAUAAAUUUUAUAAAUAAUUUAAAUAAUAAAUAUUUAAAAUCAAUUAAUUAAAUUUAGUUUUUAUUUUAAUAAUAUAAAAAUAUAAUGGGUAUUUUAAAUAGCACCUUAUUGCCUUUCAUAUGCAAAUUAUAAACUAUAAAAAAUAGGUCAAAUCAAAGGUUAAAAAAUAUAAUUGAAAAUAUAUUAAGUUUGAUUAUUAUUUUUUUAGAAUUUUAUCAUUUUUUUAUUGAAAAAAUAAGAAUUUGUCACUAUUAAUUAAUUUAAUUUCAAAAUGAAUUGAUCAAUUCUUGUAUAGACGUCAACUUUUUAAUAAAUUUCACAAUCUUUUAAUUUUUGUAUAGAAGUCAAUUUUUUUAAUAAAUCUUUUGUAUGGAAGUUUAAUUUAAAUAUCACUAAAAAAUUUUAAUUUAUAUAAUCACUAAAAUUAAAAAUUUUAAAGUUAUAUAUUUUAAAAUUAAUAUAAUAAAAAUUAUAAUUAUAAAUGACUUAAAUAAUUAAAGACACCUUUUAGCAGUCCCAUCAUUUCUUUCCUUUUAUAAUAUAUUAAUUAUAAAUGAUAAUUAUUUUUAUAAAUUGUAAAAUAACAUUGCAAAUCAAGCAAUGAAAUAAUUAUAUUAAUUAAAAAUAUAAAUUUAUAGUUAAUUUAUUAAUUUUAUAAAUAAAAAAUAGAAUUAUAUUGUUCAAUUUAUCCAAUAACUAUGACAAAUGACUUUAAAAAUAUUUUUUUUUUAUUUUUUUUAGUUAAAUUUCUCAGAAAAAUAUAUCAAAACUUUUAAAUAUAUGGUGUCUUGUUUUCAAUAUUUUUUUAUAUUUUUAUUAAUAAAAUAAAAUAACAAAUUUUAAAAAAUAAUUUAUAAUUUUAAAAUUUUUUUAUAGAAUUACAUUUUGUUAUUGUAAUAAUGCUAAAUUAUCAAAGAUUUAUAUCAAAAUAAAUCAUAAGUUAAUGAGUAAUUAAAUCAUAAGUUAUCAUUAAGUUAAAGAUGUAAUAAGUUAAUAUGCAGUUCUACUCAUAAAAAGAAAAAUUUAAAUAGUAUAACGCUUGAUUUUUUAUUAAAAUUCGUCAUCUUUUAAAUAGAUCGAGUAUUUAUGAAAAAUUACUAUUAAUGGAUAUAAUCUAAUCAAUCUCCACUAUACUUAUAAAUAUGAGAUUUUCUAUUUAUUAACCAAUACUAAUAGAAUUUAUAAAUAUUUAAUAAUUAAUUUUAUUUUUUUAUAAUAUAAAAAUAAAUGUGCACCAAUAUCAAAAUACACAUUCUUAUAUAUAUUUUUAAAUUUAAAAUAAUAUAUUAUAUUCGUAUAUUUUACUAAUUUAUUGAUUUAAAUGAUGGAGUGAUUGUUUAUAAAUAUCGACCACCUCAUAUGUUUUUAAUUGAUUCAGCAUAGUAUAAAAAGUUUUAAUAUUUUCUCUCUCCUUUUCACUUUUUUAAAUAUUAUAGAUAUAAAAUUAAAAUUAUAAAUAGAUAGAUCAUUUAUUUCUUUAAUACUUUUAUAAAUGUGUUAUUAAUCUUACAAAAAUUUAUAACUCUACACAAUUUAUUAAAAACUCAAGUAAACAAUUUUUUAUUUUGCAUAACAUUAUACUAAAUAUAAAUUUUUUGAAGAUAAAAAAUCAAUACUAACUAAAUGUGAAAUAAUUUAAAUAUUAUUGCGUAAUUUUAUAUUCAACUUAACACAGGAAUCAGCUUCUUAGGAUUUCAACUUGAUCCAUUACAAAUUAGCUCUCCAACGUCUGUCCAAAAUGCUAUUCAACGACCCACAAUUAAUAUUGACACUGAAAGGUGACAUGACAACACUCUAUCACAGCUUACAUUUAUGAUAUCAAAAUCAUUAACGCCACAGAUAGAAUAGAAAAAUCUUGUCUGAAUGUGAAAGACAAAUUAAUAACAACUCGAGAAUCACUGCUUCUGUUUUUAUUAUCAAGUAUAAGGUAAUCAUUUGUUUUUUUAUAAUAAUUUUAUUAAAAUAUAUUAUUAUAUAUAAUAAAAAAUAAAUUUUAAAUUAAUUUAAUAAUUUUAUAACUACUAUUAAAAUAUUAUCCCUCAAACUUUAAAAUAUAUCCGACGGUUGGAUCAGCAUGCAAAGAGCUUCAUGAGGAAGAUGUACAGUAGAGAUAUAUAGAACCGGCUGAACACUAAAAUCCAAGGCCUGCCUAUGAACAUUUAUUAAUUGCUUUGUUUUUUUUGUCUUCAUGCCAAUACAAGACUUUUACUAUUUCUUAUAGUAUAUAUAUAUUUUAUGGGAAAGUCUAAUUUAAAUUCGGCAAUAUUGGAAUUAAAAGAACGAUACAUUUAAUAGAAAAAUUAAAUAAUUUAAUUUUAUAAAAUGUAGAUAUCGAAACUAGAGAUGACUAAUUUGAAAUUGUUCCCUGUUUUUUUUUUUUUUUUUCUUUUGUAGGAAUUUAGAGCUUAGAAGCAAGAAAAUUGCAUUUCAAAAUGCUGCAGGGGCUUUGGGUUGCCGACCAGUAAUGGAAGCAAUGAAUCCUGAACUGGGCAGUGCUGCGUUAAAGGAUCAUUGGCUUAGAAAGGUUUCAGCCUCAUACUACUGAACAGGCCCACAGCCAAUUAGCUGAGCUCAGCCUUUCAAUAUGAACCAGCUAUUUGAACAUUAUAACAAACAGCCUUUCAAAGGACCAUUAGAUAUACCAUCUACCCCUUUUUCUUAAAUUAAUUAUUUACUUGAAAUAAUAAAAGCAAUUUAAAAUAGUAGUUUUCCUAUUUAAUUAUAUCGUUUACAUAAUUAAAUGAUCAAAUUUUAAAUUAAAUAUUUCUUUUUUUGUAUCAAUCUUAAAAUCUCAUAAUAAAUCUAAAGAUCAAUUGGUGUUAUUAAUUUCGUAACCUCCUAAAACAGAAACAGCAAAAGAAUCCCUAAUUGUAUGAAUAUCCAAUAUCUAUUUGAUGAUAAAGACAAGAAGGAAGGUAGUUGAAAUUUUUCCAUUAACAUUUUAUGUAGAAAAAAUAAAAAAUAAAAAAUAAAGUUCACAUGCAUAUAUAUUUAGAGUUAAUUAAUUAUAUUUAAUAUAAUUUGUAGUCCGGAGCAUAAUUUAAUUUUAAUAUAGUGGACUAAAAGUACUUGGGAUUAAAAUUAAAAUUAUAUAUUUUAUAUACAUAUAUAAAUUUAAUUAUAACUUAUAGUUUCAACUUAUAAUCUAAUUCCAUCACUAACCCAUAUGAGCAUGUGAGCUUGAAUUGCAAAAAGAAAAACAAAACUCUUAACUAUAAUCUAAAUUUGAGAGUUCCCGUUGAUAGUAUAAAUUUUUUAUUAUUAUUUAAAUAAAAAAAAAAAGGAUAAAGUCAUGAGAUAGGAAGAGUGAAAACAACUAGAUAACUGAAAGUAGCUUUUGGGCAAACAAAUAUUGAAAUUGGUUGGCAAGUAUUGAAAGCAAAAUGUAAACCACAAAAAAAAGAAGAAAAAGGUUGAAAGUAGAUAAACAAUGAAGUGAAGGUGUUAUUGAUAAGGGCUAUAAUUUGAAGUGAUGCAAAAUUCCAGAAUUGAAAGAUGAAGUUAGUUUGGCAUGUGUGCACAUGAAACAUCAAAAUGAUAUGGAAAGGGUAUAAAUAAUAAGAUCUCUAGAAGAGAAAGAAGAAUAAAUAAGAUCUUAAUAUAUUCUUUCUUCAAUAAAGUUUAAAAAGAAGCAAAAGAAUCUCAUUAAAUAGAAGAGAAAAUGGCAGUGAAGAAUCCAAGAUUUUGGUCCUUUUUCUUAAGAAAAAAAAAAGUGGCUUUCAAAAAACUUGAAUUAUUAAAACAAUAUUUGAAAAUUUUUUAUGAUUUAAUUUCUAAAUUUAUUUUAUAAAUUAAAUGUCAUUAUUCUAAUUACUAUGUUUAAAAAUAUUUGACCACAAUAUUGGAAUUUAGAAUUGAAUCCAAACUAUUUAUUCUAGUUUGAAAUUAAAACUAUGUUGAGAAGAGGAUACGGAAAAUGAUAAUUUAAUAAUUUUAUAUUAUUUAAGUUAAUCAUAUCUUCAAUCCAUUAAUUUUAGAGUGUUAAAAACAUAAAGAUUAUAAUAUUUUAAAUAAAAAUAAUUUAAAAACCGUAACUUUAUUAAAAUAUUUUAAAUGAUUUAUCCGAAUAAGAUUCAUUUAUUCAAUAUUUGAACUUUAAAAAUUUAUUAAUUCAUCUUUAUUUUAAAAUUAUUCAAUUAAAAUAUUUAUUAUUUUAUAAAAUUAAAUUAUUUUAUUAUUUUAUUAAAAUAAAAUAUAAAUUUAUUUAUUUUGUAUUAUUUAGAAAUUAAAUAGUAUAAAUAUUUAAAUUAUAUAAAUUAAAUAAUAUAUAAUUAAAAUAAUAUUAAUUAAAUAAUAUAAAUAUUUAUAAUAAUUAACAAUUUAUUUAACAUAAAAUUUAAAAAAUUAAUUUUAUAAAAUAUAGAGAUAUUUUAAUUAAAUAUUUUUAAAAUAAAAAUAAAUUAGUUAAUUUCUUAAAAAUUUAAAAUCCUUAUAAUAAUUUCUUAAAAAAAAACAUGUUUUUCUUAAACAAAGUAUAAAUUCUAAAAUAAAAGCUAUAUUUCGAAAUCAAUUUAACUGAUCAUAUUCACCCAUAAAUUUACAUAUAGCUAGAAAGGAUUAUUACAAUUAGACCUUUAUAUAUAGAAAAAUAUAUAUAAAAUAUAUAAGCCACUACAAUUUUUUUUAUUCAAACAAAACUUUAUAAGCCAUCAAAAUGAUUUUAUUAAUAAUUUAACUAUGAUUUAAUUUUAUUUAAUUUUAAUUAUUUCAUGAGUAGAGACUAAUAGGCAAUAUAAACACGGGAAAUGAUACUAAUCAUAUAGAGACGGGCUAAAAUACUAAAAAAAAUUUUAAAUUUAAAGAUAAUAGAUUAUUUGAAUUUAUAAAAAAUAAAUACAUAUAAUAAGUUUAAGGGAGGUUUACUUUAUGAGUUUUAUAUUAUUAAUAAUUUAGUUGUUUUAAUUUUAAAAUAUUUAUUAAAAUAUUUUUAUAUUUUCUCUAUAUUAACGAAAUAAUCAUUCAAUUAGAUUCUGUAAUUAAAAAUAUAAUAAAAAAAUUAAAUUACUUUUCUUCUAUUUAAUUUUUUUAAUUUUUUUUAUUAAAGAGAAAAUAAAAAAUAAAGGAUAUAAAUAUUUUAAUAAAAUUUAAAAAUAUAAAGACUGAUUUAUUAAUAAUAAUAAUAUUUAUAGACUAAAUUAAUAAGAGAAUUUAUUGUGAAUAAAAUUAUAUUUUAAAAUUUUUACUUUUGUUUUUUUAUUUAUUUUAAAAAAAAAGUUAAAAUAAUUAUUUUCUUAAUAAAAAAAAUAAUAUUUUAAUAAAUUUUAAAAUAUUGUAGUAGCUGAUUUAUAAAUUACAUAAUAAAUCGCCCUUAUUUUAAAAGCCCCUUUUCAUGACUUCUUUACAAUCCCACGUUCUUGCUUCUCUCACCCAAUUCAACGUUUUCAAUUUAUUAUUUUUAAUUUUUAAAAUAUCACGAGACAUUAUAGGAAUAAUAUAACACUUAUAAUCAAAAUUAAAAUAUUUAUUAUUUUAUUAUUAAUAUAUAUUAAAAAUAAAAAUAAUUAUCAAUUUACUUAUUAUUUUUAUUCACAUAUUGUAAUAUAAUUAAUAUAAAAUAUCACUUCACUAUGCUAUUAAAUAUUCUGAUUGUAUCAUAUAAUUUUUCUCUAAUCUUCAUGCAUUUUUUUUGAAAUUAAUACUUGUGAGCAAAAUAAAUAAAAAAAUUGUUAUAAAAGAAAAAUUACUUAUAAAGAAGUACAGCCCAACUAUCUGUUGAAAGAAGAAAAUCAACAUAUUAUGUUUAUAAUUAAAACUUGCUUAACUGAAGUAAUUUUUAAAAAUGUAUGUUUUAUUUUAAAUUUUGAUCAAAAUGAAAUAAUAAUUUCAGAAUUACAAUAACUAAUAUUCAGAUUUAUUGUUUUUUUAAAUAAAACCCUCAGUUCGCAAGAUUGGCAAAAGUAAAAAGUUUUUGCUGAAUCAAUAUUCAUAAUAUCUUUUAAAUUGAAAUUGAAAUUUAAAUAAUAUAAAUUAAAUAUAUUUUAAAAAGUAUGGGAAACUCGUGAUGUCUUAUUCGAAAAAAUGGACAACCCGUAGUCCUCUCCCCCUUGUUACCCCUCUCCCCCUUGUUUUGGUAACGAGACAAAAAGUUUUAAGAUAAGAAAACGACACAUCGUUGGAAGGCGAGAGGCAGCCCACCCUAUAGAAACAGGGAGCAGAAGUGCCGCAUACACAAACAUGAGUAAGAAAUUAUUUAUUCGGUUUGAUUUAAAAUUAAAUUAAAUUAAUAAAUAAAAAAUUAAAAUUUUAAUAUUUAUAAAAAUUAAAUUAAUUUUAAUUAAAAAUUAAAUUAAAUUUAUUUAAUUUAGUUGAUUUAAUUCUAUUUAAUUAGUUUAAAUUUUUAAUAAUUUUUUUAUAUUUUAUUUUUAAUAUUUUAAAAAUUUAAUUAAAAUAUUUUAAUUUUAAUAUAAUUUAAUUUCUUUAUAAUAUAUUAUUUUUAUUAAUCAGUUCAAUUUAAUUUUUUUAUUAAAAUUAAAUUAAAUUAAAUUAAUUAAAAUUUUUAAAAUUAAAUAAUUAAAUUAAAUUAAAAUAAAUAAAAAUUUAAAUUAAUUUAAUUCUUUCAAUUUUUUUUAUCGAGUAAAAUACUCAUAGCUCCUAAACGUAAGUACAGUAAUGGUGGCCCCCACAUAGCUCCUUGGAUAACCUCAUGCGGUCCUUUUUGUUCUUUUGACCUAUUGGAGUUGAGGAAGGAAGUGCUCCUUUUUCACGUUACACGUGGUUGUGGUUCUGGAGAUGAUAUGUCUAUAUUGCCACGUCGUAGAGCUUAGCUUGCUCCAGCUAACCGGAGAUGAUAUGUCUAUAUAAGACGAUUUGUUGUAUGCAUGUUCUAUUGAAAGCAAAUCAAUAUUUGUCCUUGAAAAAUAAUUUCCAUUUUAAUGAUAUGUGGCAUUAAUUGGCCACAUAAUUUAAAUUAUAUUAUAUAUUAUAAUUAUAAUUUUUAAAUAUUUAAUUUUUUUAAUUUUUAUUUUAUAAUCCGCCAUUAUUAAAUUUUAAUACACUAACUCAUAAUAAAUUAAUAGUAAAACAAUCUAUUGUAUAUAGAUUAUCAAUAUUAUUAAUGUUUUAAAAUAUUUGAAUUCUAAAAUAUUUGUCACAUUAUAAAAUAAAUAUUUAAUUAAUAUAAAAUUUUUAUCAUGCAUUCUUAUUUGAAGGGAAAUAACAUUGGUGGGGAAAUUAUUUUUCUUCAAAGUAACAUUUAAUAAAUAUUUGAGCAAACAUUUUUCUUUGGUUCAGAAACAAAAAAAUAACAUAAGGACACAUGAUAUAUAUAUAUAUAUAUAUAAUAGAAGGCACCUAGCUAGCUGGCUUGCAUGCCUUUCACAAUCAAGCUAGCAUUUGUUUGUUUAAUUAUUUACAGAAGUUGUUUAAUCCUAUGUGGAUUUGGGAUGGGAUGCCUUUUAGAACCAAAUUUAAUAUAGUAUUGAAUUUUUUUUUUAUCAAAAUUCUUUUUCAGGUAAAUAUGUCAUAUUCCAAUAUAAUUUUUAAUAUAGAAGUGUAUUAAAUUUAAUAUCAAUUUUAAAUAUAAAUGGUAUGUUUUUAUAAAAAUUUUAAACAUUUAUAUUCUUAAAUUAGUUUUUGAAUAAAUUAUACCCGACUUAAAUUUAAUAUAAAUUUUUUUCAUAUAAUUUUAAACCUUUAUAUAUAUCCACCAAUUAAAGAUUUACAUUGCAUUAAUUUAAUUUUAAUAAAUGUCCACACAUCAUGAAUAUUUUGUUCCAUCGGCAUAUAUAGUUUAGGAGUCUGACUUCUAAUUUUAUAUAUAUUAAUCCAUUUGAAUAAAGUUAUUCAUGUUGAAUUUCUAGAAUUAUACUAGAAAAUACUUUUUUAUAUAAAUUUAAAUUUAAUUACAACUUAGUAAAAGAGUAAAAACUAUAUAAUAUAUUGAUAAUUCACAUUGUCAUUUUCGUUUUAUAGUCUUUGUUCAUACAGAGGCAUGAAAAUUAUAAAUCAAAGGAGAGUAAUAUGUACAAGUGUGAUUAUGGUAUAUGUUGGGCUGAAUACAUAGAGAUGUGUAGUGAUGUGUACAUUUAUUAAUUUUGCCUCUUGAUUUUUGAUUAGCCACAAAUACAAUUGUUUUUAUAAUAAUCAUGAUGAUCAUGAGAUGUAUGAACCACAACUUGUCUAAUAUAUAUUUGCAAGAAAUAGCUACCACAACAAAUAUUUUUUUAUUUUAACUUUUUAAUAAUAAAUUAACAAGAGGGUAGAUAUAAUUGAAAGUGAAAUUGAUGCUUUUAUAUCUUUUAGCUGAAAUUAUUAACAAAUUGUCAACCAACACCCAUUACAACAAUUUUAAUUUAAUUUAAUUUAAUUUGGAUAUAAAACCUCUCUUUACACAUAAUCAUUGGCUGAAUUAUUUUACAUAUGAAUAUUCACACAAAUUCAUUAUAACAAAAAAUAUUAAUUCAUUUUUUUAAUACUAUAGAGGCCAAAUGAUAUAAAACCCACCCAUUCCUUUACAAUUUAAUGUAUUAGGGGAGUAAAAUUGUGUGAAUAAUUUGGAAAAUACUAAAUAAUCACCAAAUAUAUAUAUAUAUAUAUAUUAAAAAAAAAAGAGAUGUUAACGUUAAAUAUAUAUUUGGGGAUUAGAAUUCCAACGUGGAUAUAAGCUGUAAUUCCACCAUUGAAUGGUAUAUUUUGUAUAUGAUAUUAUUACGUGCUCAUAUGCUAGUUGAGAAAGAGAAAGGCAUAUUAGCAUAUUCUUAUUCACCAUGACAUCUCCAAUUAUGGGAGAUGCUUUUCCAUUUGAAAAUUACUUAAAAAAAAAGAAGAAAACGGUAAAGAAUCUUGGAAAUAAAAAAUUGAAAAAAUUUAAUAUUUAAAAAAUCAUUAAAUUUUAAAAAUAUAAUAAUGAGUUAUUUCAUUAAUUUUAAUCAUUCAAUAUUAUAAAAAGGUGUAAAUUUUAUUCAAUAUAGUCAAUUAAUUAAUAGAUAUUUUAUCUUAAUAAUUAAUAAAUUUUAAAAUAUCAUAAAAAUUAAAUAAUAAAUUAUUUAAUAGUUAAAAUUAAUAAAUUAAUUAAUUAAUAAAAAAUUUAAAAUAUUAAAAAUAUUUAAAUAUUUUUUUAAAUUAAAGAAUGAAUUAAUAAAUUUAUUAUUUUAAAUAAAUAUUUUAUGUUUUGAAACUCCAUCUCCAUUAUUCGAAAUAUACCAUUCAAAUAAUAAAUAAAUAAAUUAUUGGUAAAAUGUAUUUUCAAAUCACGAGCCGUUAAAUUAUUUUUAAAUUUGUUAAUAAAUACCAACAUGGCUACAAUAAACGUGAUUAAUGUAUGAUUUUAGAUAAAAUUUAAAUCAAUGUAACUCAAAAUUAAAAUUGAUUUGAAUUUUUUAAAAUUUGAAUUGACAAAAAUUAUCUUUAACUAAAUCAAAUUAAAAUCAGAAGCGAUUUUGUUGAAUCUAUUAUUUCCGUUUCAAUCUUUUCAGCUUCAAAAUGGAAAUGAGAUCUUAAUCUCAAAUUAAAAUAUUUUUAAAAAUUUAAUUGAUUUUUUAUUAAAAUAUUUUUUUUUUAUUUAAAAGGAAAGAAUUUAAUUUUUUUAAUGCAAAAAAUUUUCAUUUUGAAAAAAUGAAAAAUCUUGUAUAAGGGAAAAAAUAAUUCCAAGCAAUAAUUUAGAAACAAAACAAAAAUAUGAAAUAAUCCAUUGUUACAUCAAAUAUUCUAUUUAUAAAUGAAUUUAUAGAAAACAUAAUUAAGCGAAAGUACAUAAUACUAUUUUUAUUGAAAUUGAAAAGUGUAUUCUAAAUAAUAAACCUUAAAUUUUUGAAAAAUAGAAAAUAUUUUAAAUGGGUGAUCAAUGACCGUGAAAAGAGAUAGAUAAUUUAAACCAUAAAAUUUCACUUUAAUUAAUAGUUAGAUUUAUUUUUAAUUAGUCUAACAAAAUGAAUUUUAUGCCUGUAAAAGCUAAUUCGGAAGUUAUAUAAUGAAAGAGGAAGUGUACUUUUAAAAUAUCAUUCAACCUGAAAUUAGAAUCAUAACUUUAAUUUAAUUAUUUUUUUAUAAUUAACUUUUUAUUUAAAAUAAAAAAAUUAAUUUUUUUAACUUAAAAAAAAUUCAUUUUAAAAAAAUUUAAAAUUUUCAGAAUUUAGUUGAAUUUUUUAUUUAAUAAUAUGCUAAACAAAGAAAAUGAGAUUAUAAAUAAAAUUAAAUGGAUUAAUUUAUAAAAAAUUAUAGGCGUUAAUCAUUACAUUUUAAAUUAUAAACAAAAACAAUAAAAAACUUUUAUUCUGAUAAUAUUUAUUCUAAAAUAAUUAUGUAAGAAAAGAAAAGAAAAAAAUUUUUUUUUUUAAGGAUAUAAAAUAAAGUCAGAAUUUUAUUUUUCUCUUUUUAUAGAAUAAUUUAGGAACUUGCAAAACGAAGACUUAACCAACUAAAGUCGUUAUUUACAGCAAAUUUCUCUUCUCAAUUUUUUUUCCUGCGCUUGCAGUUGCUCUAUCUACUGGCUACAGCGCCUCUCUCUCUCUCUCUUCCCCUCUGGCCGCUGCUCCUCUCGUCGUCUAUCUGAACGCGCCGUUUCUGUUCGUAGUGGUUUGCUGCGCUCUCCACGAACCUCUUCCUUCUCCAAGAUCACAACUCUCAGUUUUUCUGUAGUUUUUCUCUUCUUUUAAGCUCUUUCUGUGUAUUUAUCAUUUUGUGUUUAUUUUUGUCUAUGUACUUGAAUAUGAAAUCUAGAGAGUUGUAUAGAGAUAUGCGUGUGUUGUGGCGUGUGUAUAGAUUUGAGAAGUAGAGGUUUUGUUACAGCGGAGUUGACCCGAGCCAACGACUGCUCGGGGAGGAAGGUUCUUAGAUCAGUAUGGACAUGGAAACUAAUUGGACUUUCGGGAAAUCCGACCCUAAUUCAAGCUACUUGCAGAAAUUCCGACUAUAUGAGACUCGCUCGGUACAAUCCUAUUGUUUCAGUGUUUUUAAUUUUGGAUUUUGCAUUUGCUAGUUAUGAUUGCUGGGCCAAGUCGUUUUGGAAAAUUCAUUUUUCUUUUUGAGCUUGUGUAAAUUUUCUUUUGAAUUGUGUGCGAGUUUGCUUGCAUAAGGUACGCAACUUGUGGUUUUAGCUAUGAUAGAGUGAUAAUUUGGAUUGGCUGCAUUUUGACGUGGUUUAUAUUAUUGCAGACUUAUCUUUUUAACUUGAUCAGGUAAAAAAAUGGACCUGAUAAGAAAUCUGGAAUGAAGGUUUUUUUUUUUAUUCAAGUACUCUCUGUUUAUUUGCGUGUAAUUGAUAGUAGUGGACUCAUUAGAGUUUGAGUUCUUGUUUGAUUUUUGUCUUUCUUAAUUCAUUUGCUAAAUCUACUCUGUAAAAUUUAUGAUAGGAGAUGAAUUUUCAGAUGGUGGUUUUGGAAUCUCCACUAUUGGUUUGCCUUUCCACGGAACUUUUUUUUUUUAAAUUGAUUAAGUAAUGAAGAACAGUAAGAUCCUUCCUCUGUUGCCACCGUUCAUUUAUUUCUAGGUGGUUCAGUGAGUUGUUUACGUGUUCAACUUCUUGAAAAUAUUUCUUUUUUCUCCUCAAUUAAAUUUUUGUUAGAAAGUAGUUAACAAAUUUGACCUACGUUGUUUGUGUUUCUCUUUUAUUGUAUUAAUUUCAUUUUACUUGCUCUUUUGCCUACACCGAUGUUGCUGUCUUGAUCAUAUGUUGAGAUUUAUUACCAAUUAUUGCAAAUUUUUUUUAGGACACCUUCCACGUGUUUAUUGUCUACUUUUGCUCCUCUCAAAUAGUGAGAUGUAAAAAGCCUUUGUCUUUGCAUUUGAUUCACCAAAUACUAUGUAUUUUCUGUUUUUAUCAAUAUAAAAUGACUAAUUUAUGUUGAUUAUGAAAUCAGAAUCAUAUAUUGUGACACAAUUUGUCCACUACUCAUUUCAUUUCAUUUCCUUUGCUACAGAAUUUUUAUAUAAUAGGAAGAGAUAAGAACAGAACUUUUUGGAGGAUUUUAAAGAUUGACCGGUUAGAACCAUCUGAACUAUUUAUUCUUGAAGAUUCUACAACCUACUCAGAAAGUGAAUGCUGUGACUUGCUAAGGCGAAUACAUGAAGGGAAUAAAUCAACUGGUGGACUUAAAUUUGUAACUACUUGCUAUGGAAUAGUUGGUAUGUAUGCUAUAUUGCUCUGUCUAAUCUUUGCAUCCAUUUUAUUAUAGAGCUCAUGAUUCUUUUUUUUUUGUUGUUGUUGAAACUAGGUUUCAUUAAGUUUUUGGGACCUUAUUACAUGUUGCUGAUAACCAAAAGAAGGAAAAUUGGUGCAAUAUGUGGCCAUACAAUAUAUGCCAUCAGCAAAAGCGAGAUGAUUCCUAUUCCAAAUUCUUCUAUGCGGUCCAAUAUGACUAAUUCUAAGAAUGAGAACAGGUCUUUUGUCCAUUCUGCAUGUAAAUGUAAUAUGUACUUGGUACUUCUAAGGGGACCUAUGAGAUUAGUUAUCAAAAUUGCGCACUAUUCAUUUGUAAUUAUUAGGAUUUUGUCAUGGUUAUUAUUUUAUUUUCUUUCAUUAAUUUUUGGGACAAAUAGUCUGAGUUGGGAAUCGUCUAUUAGAAGUAGACAAGUUCAACCCUGUGGAGGUAAUAUCUGUACUAUUUUUGUUAAUACACCCUUCGGUGUUAAUAUACGGUGUGGACUUCUCUUACUCAAACUUAUUUUGAGUUAUUCUGGUGGUAUAGCUUUAUUCUUUUUUCUUUCCUUCCUUUUUUAGACGAAACUAGUACAUUAUAUAAUUUUGAAUUAUGCAAUGUUAAACAUUACUGUCGCAUCCUCUUAGUUGAUAAUGUUCUGUAGUGGCUAUUGCCAGUUGGUUUCUUGCAUGUGUACAGGGGCAAUCUUCAUUGCUGUUGUGAUGAUGUUAAUAUAACAUAUUGAAUGAGGCAAGGUAUCAUCGGGUUUCAGGGGGAGAAGUCACUUCCUUUCCUUUUUUCCCCUUUUAUUUUCUCUUUCUUUUCUUUUUCCGUCCUUUAGCUUUGGUUUUUUUCCCUCAGCAUUCAAUAUUAUUCUUUCUCCUUAAACAUGCACUAAAUUUGCUUGCCUUUUUUUUAUGUGGCGUAGAUACAAGAAGCUCCUAUGCACAAUGGAUCUUACAAGGGACUUCUUUUUCAGCUAUUCAUAUCAUGUCAUGCAUUGUCUUCAAAAGAAUUUAUGUAGCAAUGAGACAGGGCAAGCUCACUAUGAAACAAUGUUUGUUUGGAAUGAAUUUUUAACACGAGGAAUCCGGAAUAACCUCAAGAAUACUCUAUGGACAGUGGCAUUAGUAUAUGGCUUCUUUAAACAGGUGCAUUUUAUUUUCUAACCUUGCCUGUAUAUGCUCAUAAUUAUUUUACUCACAUAAAAAGAGCAGUGCCUUUGUAUCUUUUUCUUUUUUGGUCGGAAUUGGAAAGAGUAAUUAUUAUCAAUAUCUAUUGCAUAUGGUGGCAAAUAUGAUGUUUUUCUUUUGCAUCUUCUAUGUUCCAUCUUUUCACUUCCCAUGUUUUUUACAUUUUGAGUUGGGAGCCAGCCAGUGGAAUUUAGCAAGGAUAACUAAAUUAAGUACAUGGUCAUUUGUAAGCCAAGUCAGUGUACAAGGCUGUUAACUGCAUCUUCACAAUAAUUUAUCUGGCCAUUCUCUUGUUCCUCAUUCUGGGUAAAAUUUAAGCAAAAUUUUGUGCAAGCUUUGAAUAUUUUGGUUUCCUGAUUUGGUAUCCAGGUCAAACUUUCAGUAGCUGGUAGGGAAUUUAAGUUGACUCUAAUUGCUAGGCGAUCACGACAUUAUGCCGGCACAAGGUACUUUUGACCUUCUGAGCAACUUGCCCACUAGAUUACUUCAAGAGUUUAAACUGCAUUUUUUGCCAUCUCAGCUUUUAUUUUACGCCCCUGAACUUGAUAAAUUUCCAAAAUAUUGUGUGAUUAAUAUUUUAUCUUCUUUUCUUUUCCCAAGCAUUUUCUGCUGCUCUUAAAAAGAAAUUUAUUCUUGCUUCCUAUAUUUUUUUGUGUAGAUAUUUAAAACGCGGUGUGAAUGAGAAGGGUAGGGUGGCUAAUGAUGUUGAGACAGAACAAAUUGUGUUUGAAGAUGUUCCUGAGGGACAUCCAGUGCAAAUAAGUUCUAUUGUGCAAGAUCGGGGUUCAAUUCCACUUUUCUGGUCCCAGGAAACUUCACGAUUGAAUAUUAAACCUGAUAUUAUAUGUAUGAUUUCGGCAGACUUAAAUUGUGAUAAUCUCAGUGGUAAUUUUUCAUAAAAUAUGCUGAUUUCCUGUUCUGUUCACAGUAUUGAAGAAAGACCAAAAUUAUGAGGCUACGAAGCUUCAUUUUGAAAAUCUUGUAAAGAGAUAUGGAAAUCCAAUAAUCAUUUUGAAUUUAAUAAAGGUAGGCCCCAGCAAUGUUUAAGAGAAAAAUUGUUACGUAUGUGCAUGACCAUGCAUGUAAAUGGAUCAUAAUCUUUUGGCAACUGUGUUCAUGACUGACAGACACAUGAAAAGAAGCCUCGAGAAAGUAUACUCCGCACCGAGUUUGCUAAUGCUAUCAGAUACAUAAAUAAAGGCUUAUCAGAGGAUAAGCGCCUUAGGUUCCUCCACUGGGAUUUGCAUAGACAUUCCAGAAAGUAUUAAGCUCACAUUAGUCCUCCUUUUUUUCCCUUCUCCAAUUACUUUUGGUGUUAUUGAUGUGAAUAUUAUUUGAUUGUUUUUGAACAGAGCUACCAAUGUAUUGUCACUUCUAGGGAAAGUGGCAGCAUAUGCAUUGAACUUGACUGGCAUCUUUUAUUGUCAAGUCACACCAAGUUUAAGGCCCAUUGGGUUUUUGUAUUCAUCUGAGUAAGUAAUGCUGCUGACUUCUUUACAGCAUUUUUCAUCUCUUAUGACAAGGUUUUCUGUGCAUUGAUUGUCCAUUUAAACAAUCUUUUGGCAUUGCUUUUGAACCUAUUUAUAAUUCACAGCAUUUGAUUUAUGAUUUGUUGAAUUGUAACGGCAAAGAUUCAUAAUGCUCAUUUAUUAUUCGAGGUUGGUGCUUGACCAGCUUGGGGAAUGCUUUUAGACAUUUAUAUUUGGUGGCUUAUGCCGUGUGGAAUAUUGUACUCCAUUAGCAACUUCUCAUUUUAGCCAAAUUACUAUCAUUUCUGCUCAAUUAUUGCUAGCUAUUUAUGCUGUUGGCAAUGUAAAUAUUCUCCAGGAAAAAUGAUGAUGAAUGCUCUCUCAAAAUUACUUCCAAUGAAAAUGACUUGAGAAGGAAUUUGGACUCAGGAAUUACCAAUGCUUGUUCUGAAGAUGACAUAAAUCAGAGUAUCAAGACCCCUAUGUUUCAAAAUGGGGUGCUAAGGACCAAUUGCAUAGACUGUUUAGAUCGCACAAAUGUUGCCCAAUAUGCCUGUGGUCUGGUGGCUCUUGGUCAUCAACUGCGUGCUCUUGGAUUUGUAGAAUCAGAAAAUAUUGAUUUAGAUAAUCCGUUAGCAGAGGAUUUAAUGGGGAUCUAUGAGACAAUGGGUGACACACUUGCAUUACAGUAUGGUGGCUCUGCUGCACACAACAAGGUAAUUCUUUCUGAAUAAGGUUGAAUUUAAAAUUUUUAGAUAUUACACAAUGCAACUGGGAUUAGAGAUAUUUGCUUGUAGUAUGUUUGCCAGUAGGUCUAUUGCCUUUGUUCUGUUUGAUGAAUUUGAUGUAUUUGAUUUCUCCAAGAUUAUAAACUUGUGGCUGUGGCUGUUGCUCUUUAGUGAAUAACAUAGAAGUGUAGAAUUUUAGAAACAGCAAAGAAAUUGUGCGUGGUAGUUUUUAAUAAGUAUAUUUUAAAGUGAUGCAAAAGCUCAAUUAGGCGUAAAGAUGUAUAUUAACAAGCGAUUGUUGUAGGGUUAUUCAAGUCUUCAGCAUGUUCAUACUGUGUGAAACAAAUGAGUAUGAUCUAUCAACCAUGCCAACUGGUGGUGUUAUUAGGUUUGAAAUUUAAUUUAACAAAAGUAACUUCGCAUGCAGUCAUCUAUUUGGUUGUGCCGAGGAAAGAACAAAGAGUUUAAUUUUGAUGUCUGAACCUGUCCAUCAGUGAUGAAGUAAGCAAGCUGAGUGAGUUAAGACAAAUUAUUUAGUAUAGGAAACAAUUUAGAUACUAAUAUUAUUAGUUAAUCAUUUUAAAAGUAGAAAAAUUAUAUGCUUUUCCUAUCUUUAUUCUUAAAAUAAUUUAUUUACCACUCCUUGGGACAGCUGUAGUUUGGAACUUUACUUCUAACAUUUGAACCCCUUCUUAUAGGCUUAAAUAAACUACUUUUUCAUUAGAGUGAAAUCCAGUUGAUAUUGGGUUACAAUUUGCCCUUUGGCAUAUCGGAGGAGACUCAUUUGUUCUUUUCCCGUCUAGAUGCUUUGAUUUCUCUAGACUAGAAUUCGUUGGUUCCCGUUUGUCACUGUUUUGAAGUGAUGUUAACAGAUAUUUUCAGAAAGGAGAGGCCAGUGGAAAGCUGCAACUCAGUCCCAAGAGUUUUUUAGAACUUUACAGCGUUAUUACAGUAAUGCAUACAUGGAUGCUGAAAAACAAGACGCUAUUAACGUGUAAGUUAAAUCUGCUUUCUUUUCAAAAGCAUCAGAGUUUUUCCUGGAAUAGAAGCUACAAGGCAUUCUCAAAUUUUGAUAUGAGGUGCACUGGCAUGGGAAAGUUACUUGUUUAACAUGACAGUAAUUUUUAAGCAGAUUCUUGGGUCACUUCCAACCACAACAGGGAAAGCCAGCAUUAUGGGAAUUGGAUUCAGAUCAGCAUCACAAUGUUAGAGGACAUGGUCCUGAUUUGGUUGAUGAGGGUGCUAGGUACUAUAUUCCUCAUGAUUGCAAAUAUUCUCCGCAUGAAAAUUUUGUUCAACAGCAAACAAUUCGUUAGUGCAAUACUGUGGUUUCCUUAGAAACUACAAAACAUUUCAGAAAAUCAUGUCAGAAAUUUGCACAUUUUGCUUUUAUCAGAUAAUAGAAAUAAGUAAUCAGACAAAAAGAGGAUGGAGCUUUUGAAUGCAGGAGAGACUUUCGUCACAAUCAAGUCUUGAUUUUCAUUCAAAAGUUGAUUCUCUCUUUGAUAUUUUAUUAAACAAAGUGUAGUUAAGAGGAAUGCAUAUAGACCCAUGUUAGUAAAUUUGCACAUAUUGUUUUUAUCAGUUAACGGAAAAAAAAUAAUCAGACAACAAAAAGAGAUGUCUGGGCUUUUUCUAAAAGUUUUGUUCAACGAAGUGUAGUUAAGAGGGAAGCAUAUAAAGCUCCAUCUAGGAAUAAUAGAACCCAUUUAACACAUAGAUCACAGACCUCUUCAGUUGAAAAUCUCUCUCAAUUGUAUGGAUCCUGUUCUACUGUUAUUGUACAGAUAAAUUUCUCAGCUUAAAGCUAAUUGUUUUUUUUUUUUUUUUUUUCAUGAUUCUCUCUCUUUUUUUUUAUAAAGUUAUUGUUCUCGCAUCUUAUGAAAUCAUUCAGUAUUUUUAUCUUGAAAAUUGCAGAUGACCAUUUCAUAUUCAUGUCUCAGUAGAAUUUGUGUGCUUUUGGGCCAGGAUAUACAAUGCAAACUGAUCCAGGACCAAGAGUUCCUUUUUUGAAUUUCUAACAUUGAUUUCGGCUAUCUUCAGGUCAUUCAUUAAAAGGUCACUAUCAGAUGGCAAUCUUCUUUGUGAAAGUGACUCGCUUGUAACAGCUACCAAGGUUGUACAUAAUAAGGCUUUUUCCGAGGAGCAAGGAGUUUGCAAGGGUCUUUCAGAUUCAACUCCAGAGAUCUCCACCUGUGAAAGUGAUAUGUCAUACUCUAGGUCUGUAUUAAAUCACAUCUCCAUACUUGUUACUUCACCACAUCACUUUUUGGUACAAUACACCCAUGUUAAAACAUAUUGUAAAGUAGCAUAUGUAAAUGCUAAUGCCCAAGAAAGCCAGGCUUGUAAGUGUUAACCAGCUUUUCAAAUUUAGCAUGUAAUAAUUACAUUCAACAGUCGGUAAAUUUAAUGUUCAUGAACUCUGAUGAGAGAGCAUUCAACUGCAUUGCUGCUGAUAGAAUGUUGGUUGUCAAUUUAGGUAUACUCCCUCAAUGCCUCGCAUGCAACUUUUUAAAGAUAUAGGGGAAGAAUACUAUGAAAGUGAUCCUAUUUGCUAUGAUGAACAUGGGGAUGCAUGUAGUUGCUCAAAUUUUCUUGACUUGGACUGGCUUUCUUCAUCAGGGAAUUCUUGUGAAGGAGAUCCUUUUGAUAGGUAAGUUUAUGGUUCCACCGAGUUCUUGAACGCAGUGGCUUACAAAUAAUAGUUAACGCCCAUUGAUGUUUUAAUGGUUGCAGGUCAAUUGCUGGCCUAUCACAUGAUUGUCUUGUGAAUGAACUGAAACGCGAAAUAUCUGCCAGUGAGUCUGGAUCUAGCUCGAAGGUUAGUGUUGAAUAUCUGACACUUAUGACAUAGGGGUUCACACGGGAGGAUGUCUAUAGAUGAUAAAUUAAUUUCAAUACAUGCUUCUAGGCAGAUAAUAAUCAUUUUACGUUUCGUUGAGAAAAUUUUCUUAAUUAUAUUAGAAAUAUUCAAUAUUAAAUUAAAAAAAUUACUAUUUAGUCCAUACUAUAUUUAGUAUGGAGAAACUCAUUAGUUGGUUUUUCGAUUUUAAAAAAUGUAUUAAAAUGUCCCUAACAUUUUAAAAAGUUUAUUAAUUAGUCAUUCUGUUAAUUUUAACCGUUAAGUAUUAUAAAAAUUUUAAAAUACUUAAAGGGAUUAAUUAGUAAACUUUUUAAAAAUUUGAGAGACCAACUAAUAAGUUAUAAGAACUAAAUAGUAAAAUAUUUAAUAGCAAAAUUAACGUUGGGAUUAAGUUUUAAACUUUUUAAAACAUUAAAAACGUUUUAAUAUAUUUUUCAAAAUCGAAAAAAUAAUUAAUGAGUUUUAUCAUAUUAUAAGAAUAAGUCUUCCAUAAGAAUAUUAAUAUAAUAAAAUAACAUUUUCCCUACAGUAUCUAAAAUGAUGUUUUUCAAAAAAACUAUUCUGUAAUGCAUCAACCUCAAUGUAAAAUGGAAACGUUCGCUGGUUUUGCACAUCAUGUUAUAAUCUUAUAAUUUGCGGGGCUGCAUUAGUUUCAAAUAUUAUUUCACCAUAUUCCUUUUACCUUCAGGGAAAAUAUCAAACAGGGGCUGACAUCUCUUCUGAAGACGCGACGGGUGGAUUUUCAGAGCGGUUUCUGCAGUGGGUAACACAUGGGGAGGCACUUUUCCAAAUAAGUUAGUUACCUUGGAUUUGAGAUGAUAGUAAUUUAUCCGAUCUCUUGAUCCCAUCCGAAGGAUGUGGAUUACAUAAUAGAGAAUAAAGAGCAGGACACCUCCCUAAAGAUAAGAAAGGCACUGGCAUCUCCUGAAGCUAUGUACUGAAUUACUGUAAUGUUAGCGGCAUUUUGUCUGAUUUUUGUUCAGAAGAGUGUGAUCGAGACAACACAACACGAAUAUGCUAAUUCAUUUGGAGCUCCCAGCUCAGGGUUCUCCAAUUCCUCUAGGAUCAGGAUCAGAAAUAAUCUUAUAUGUAAAUUUCAAAUCUAGAUCUCUAGUUUGCAAGGUUAAAUUUGUAGUCAGUCUUUAACUCUUUGUUUAUAAAAUGAACUCAUUAUUGACAGCUGCCUCAAUAGUAGAUCUCGUUAAUAAGGCAAUACUCGGAGUGAUAACUUUGCAAUCGAUUAAUUCAUAGACAUUUUGUUUCAUAUAUUCAUCGCAUCUUCCACUCCGGGAAAGCAAGCUGAUUUCUGGAAACCCAUGCCCACGUUGCAUCAUCAGGGUGAAGCAAUUUUUCAGGUAUUCUUUUUUCUAAUGAAUAGGCAAAGCAGCGGAAAAUUUAAUAGUUUCAAAGACUGAUUUUGGUGAGUUUGAAAACAUUCACCGGAGUAACGCCUUGAACUUGUCAUGUAUAACAGGUUAAACUGAUAGUUCAAGUUUUUCCAUAAUCAGUCAAAAUUUCAAUCGGUACGGUUUUUUUUUAUUCAAAAGACCCAUCUUAUAUAUCGGCCACUGCAUUAACUUUUUCUUUUUUGAACUUUUCAACAUUAAAAAAGCAAGAAAACUUGACUGUUGAAAAAUAAGAAAACAACAUCACUAGGUCAAUGAAGAUCAACUUUCAAAAACUUUGAUGUUCAUAAUCCCUUGAAAAAAAAAAAACUAAUAAAAUUUUAAUAUGCAUAGAAACUCCUCAUGCUUUACUCAUCCCAGCCAGUAGGAGCAAGCGCAGGGGUGGGGGCUGCUGCACCUGCAAAUUGCGGGGUGGCGGCUGCGGCUGCGGCUGCACCGGCAAAUUGCGGUGGUGGAGCUGCAGCAUCCCAUUCUGUGGUGAAUCCACCUAAAGUUGAACCCAAAAAGAAGUGUUAUCAGAAAGAAAAGAAAUUGAGAAAGAAAAAAAAAAAAGGGAGUUGGAUCAAAAGCAGCAUCUGACAACUUCAUGAAAUGUAAAUUUAAAAUGAUUAAGGGAGCUAAACUGGUGUUGGAAUAACUCAAUACCUUGUUCUGGAUAGAAAUUGGCAGCAGGAACAGCAGCAAUAGGUGGUGGAGCUGCUUCAGCAGUCCAUUGGCCAUCAGCAAUUUGGGCACCCCAAUCAGCUGCAGGAAGCCCAUAAUCAGCAGGAGGUAGUGCAUAAUCAGCAACGGGCACUGCUUCCUCCUCUUCCUGUUCCUUGGUUUCCUCAGGUUCUCUAUAGAAAAACAAGUCCACCUGCUCAUGGAAAGAUAAAUGGAUAUAUAAUAAACUAAAGUAGAAAAAACACUGAUGGCCACUUAUACAAGCAUUUUGACACAAACUGUCUGUAACAAAUGUUUAAACUUUUGUGCACCUUUCAACGAGACAGGAAUAUAAUAUGCCUUAUUCAUAUAAAUAGCUGUUAUAAAUGCCUACAUUUUCUACAGGUGACUACAUGAGUCAGAGGAUGUGUGUUCAAGCAAUGAAAUUGUAUAUACUGGGAAUUGAAAGAGCAAACAAUAGAUUGGAACCAUUGAAUGCAAAAAGCCAUCAGCUACUAUGAGUGUACCAUAACAUCCCACUUGUGCCCUUGAGGAAUAGUGCCACGCAUCUGUAGAACCAUUCUUGCCAAGAGCCAAAAUAGGCACCCAAUACUGUGCUUUCCUUUGUUAUUUGCAGGGAUGCCAAUAUCCACAUAUCGCAUAGGAGAAUCAGUAUCACAGAAAGCGAUGGUGGGAAUGUUUCCUAGAGAAGAUUCCUUAAUAGGCUGCAUGUGUAAGAAAAGUUAGAAUUCGGUCAAGGUUCAUAUAGGAAAUAAAACAUUCAUAAAAAAGGCAUCCACACUAAGCUUAAGGCCAUGAAUAGGGGAGGAUUCACCUGGUGAUCAGUUCUUGGAUCAGUGAGGAUCAAGAGACGAGGCUCACUGAAAGAUGUUUGGAGCUGGUUAGUGAAUGUACCGGGAGUGUGCCUUCCAGCAAUAGCAUGAGCACCGGUGUAUUGAGCAAACUUGAGGACUGCUCUUUGACCAUAAGGCCUUGCAGACUGAACAAUAAUGUCCUGAGGGUUCUCAAUGCCAACAAUAACCCUAGCAGCCAGUUGAAGUUUUUCCCAAGUCUUACCAAGAUUGAUAAUAUAAAUUCCUGGGAAGGAACAAGGAGUAAUUCAUACCAACAUCAUUAACAUCUUGACAGCACAUCAAACUUCAGGAUUUAGAUAAGCAACAGUAAAGACAAGCAAGACUAGGAAAUAGAUUCUGGAAUGCAAAAUCAUGAUGCAUACAACUAAUACAUGUAUAUGAAUCUCUAGAACUGCUAAAAUACAACUUGUAUAUGCACAAGUGUCUCCAAGAAAAAAGCAGUAUUUCCGUAAAGAUCAAUUCGAAUUAAAAAGUAACUACUUCAAACAAGACAGAUUCUUAAGCAAUUCAAGUAAUCCAAUUCCAUAAUAUAUCUUCCUUCUACUCUGAUUCAUUCACAAGGCAGCUUAAGAGGCUAAGACUAUUGAAUCAGUGAUUCGCUUUAUUCCUAAUUCUACACAAAAUUCACAUCAUCAAAAUAAAAAGAAAAAAAAGGGGAUUAUAUCAGAACUAGUCCCGGAUGAUCGAGUGGAAACAUAAUCAUCUGCAGCCAUUGAAUAUACCGCUUAUCGGAGAUCUUCCUAAUAAGAUAAUCAAACUUACAUAUGUAUCCAAGAGAGAGUAAAUACCAUCAUUUCGGCGCUUGAACACGUAGCGUUCCAUCUGGAAAUCGCAGUUCUUAGUGCCGAGGUGAACUUCGGCAGCCAACAUCAUCUGUAUAUCCAACUCCUUCUGGGACAAAGUCCGGGUGGGAGCUGCUGCCAUCGCCAUGGCUUCUAUGAAACAGCUUGAGAGGAAGAGAACUGUAACCGUCUGUGUCAGAUAGAGAGCGAGGGAUGAGCUAGGUUUUUCCGAGGGAGACUGAGAGAGUAUAUGAUUUUAAUUUAUAUUAAAAUAAUAUAUAAUAUUGUAAUUAUCAAUUAAAAAAAUAUAAAAAAUAUUUUAUAAAUUUAUUUAUUUUUAUUUUAGAGUAGAAAUUAAUUUAUAUUAAAUUAUUUUUUAUAUUAAUAUUUUUAAUGUUAUUUAAAAAUUAUCUCCAUUUGUUAAUCGUCCAAUAUUAUAAAUAUUCGAUUUGAAUUAAAAAAUUAAUAAAAUUAUGAAUUUUUUUUCUUUUCCCUAAAAUUUAUUUCAAUAAAAAAUAUUGAAAUUAAAAGUAUCUUAAGAUCUCAUUUCUAACUCUUUAAUUUUUUCAAGAAACAAAAUGAAAUCCGCUAGAAUAGAUGUCUUUUUUAUUUCUUUCUUUGGUUUUUUUUUUUUUUUUUUCUGUAUACUAUUUUUAAUUUUUUAUUAGUUUUUUUAAUUCUUCUUUAUUAAUAGUCUUUUAAAUAAUUGUUAAUAACUUAUAAUUUAAACAAUGCAAAUUAAAUUAAGGCAUCAAAUUUUUUUUUUUUGAAAUAGGAAUUAAGAGAGUAGAACAUGGGAUCUUUUAGAUUUACUCAAAUAUAUUUACUAUGAGACUAUAUCUGUGAGUGCAAAGUAUUAAAAUUAUUUGAUGAUUAUAAAAUUAUGAUUUACAUAUUUUUUUUAAAAAUACAUGUCAGAAUGUAUAUAUAUAUACUUAAUAAUAAAGUUUUGAUGCAUUUUAGGAUAUUAUUAAAAUUAAUUGUCCGUCUAAGAUCAUUGAUAGAACUUAUUUUUUGUUUAAAAAUACUAUUGAGAACACCAAUUUAUUGCAACUCUCUUACUGACUUUCAAUUAUAACACUAAAUUUUAAAAUCUUUAUUAACAAACAACUUUUUAACAAGUUUUUUAACACGUCUUUAAAUUGGUUUAGCAGUAUUCAAAUUAACAGCAUAUUUUGAUGCACAUCUUAACCCCAAAAAAAAAAAUUCCUUAAAUGUACCAACCAAGACGUUCUAGCAUAUGUUGCCUAUUUAGCCUAAUCCUUGCAAGCUUUUCAAAACGGGAUUGAACUAAGCAAACUUACCAUUAAUACAUUCUAACUUCCAAUUUCUAUCUAUUCACUUCUUCAACAUGGCAAAUUAAGAAGUGAUCUCAACGGUUGCAAAUAAAAAAAUAUAGCAUCAAUACAUCAAGGUUCAUGAAACAAAUAAAAUUACUGAGCGAGUAAUUCAAAAAAUGCAGUUAGCAACUGUCAACUCCAUUUCACUCCAUAUCUUAUGGAUACCAGUAGUAACUGAAAUCGAUUGAACCAUUAAGAGCAUGACUUAUGGCACUUAUAUUUCGCACUGAAAGCAAGACUUACAACAACUAUCAAAAAGUUGAAGCCAUAACCUAUAAAUUCACGUAAUAUCACGUAUAUAGACAAUGGUCAAAAUUUGUAUUCGCAUUACAGUGGAAGGUGAUUUGAGUGGAAACACCAUGACCUAUAGACAUUACAGAUACCAUAGAUUUAAGAUCUCCGACUAAGCUAUUCCAACAUCAUUCAUAUGAAACAUUGUAACGACCCGGAAAUCGGACCGCUACCGGAGCUAGGAUCCAGAUCGGCUUAAGGCCGCCGGGACCCGUAGCAAGCCCAUCCUGAACUCUGUGUACCUGAUAAAUCCCAUACAUGAUCAAACAUAAACAUAAAAAAACUGAAAACUUUCCUCCCACUUACCAAGCUUGACCUGCAUGCACUAUGUCUGGAAACAUAGAACCCACUCUCAUAGGGUCAGCAUAUCAUAAGUCAGCCUUGGUUCCACACAUUUCUCAACAAGAAACAUAAAACAGGAUCAUGCAUAACAAGGGAUUAACCAUACACUAGGGCCAAGCACAAUACUCUAUCCAUUACAUUACAUAUUAAUCCUUUAAAUUACAUCAUGUCCGCUACUCUAUUACAUAGCCAAAACCUUUACCCUUGACGCCUUCCUGGACUACCUCUGACCUGCAAAACUAGGGUGAGGGGAGAGGGAUGAGCUAAAAAGCCCAGUGAGGAGAAACAAUGAAAACUGUUCAUUAAUUACAUGCUUUCAUGGAAUGCGUCACAGCACAAACAUUUCACAUCUCGGAUUGGACAUGACCUCAAAACUCCCUCUGUCAGCGCCCGGCCCCCCCUAGGGAGCUCACACAGGUCUUUCCUUACUUAACAGAUCGUGGGCUAUUGAGGUCGCCUUGGUCCAUCCACAUCAACAAUAAAGAAUGCAAUGCAUCAUAGUCGUGACUACUAAUGCAAUCAUCCUAUUACAUAUACUCAUGAUGCAUGAUACAUGCUCAAAACAUUCAAUUUCUCAUAUUGAAAACAUUAAGUUUAGUUCUACUCACCUCUGGCAGACGCUGGACUGACUCUGCAACAGCUAACACUGAUGGCCUUCUCGGUCCCUCGGGUCCGAUCCUACACAGGUGGACUCGAAUAAGGUGCCAAACACACUCUAAGCAACUUAUAAACAACUCCCUAAAAACCCCCCUAAAACAUCCUCAAGCAAGCCUGGAAAACAAGCAAAAAAAAGCUGGACAGGGCAUCUUUGGCGGCACCUUCGGCGGCCGAACCCCCUCUUCAGAGACGAAACUCGGGCACUUUCGGCGGCACCUUCGGCAACCGAAAGUCCCUUCCAGAUUCGAAAGUCUAAACUUUCGGGGGCAAGGUUCGGGGGCUGAAAGACCUUCCAGAGCCGAAAGUCAUCCACCUUCGGCGGCAUGUUCGGCGGCCGAACCUUCCCUCCAGAGACGAAAGUCUCAACCUUCGGGGGCAAGGUUAGGCGGCCAAAACAGCCAUCCUAAGGGGUUCGGCGGCCGAACCUUGCUUCGGCAGCCGAACCUGAGUUCAUCCAGAACUCAGCUUCAUGCACAAACAAGCCUCCCAAACCUUCCAAACACCCAAAACAUGCAAACCACAAUUUCACAACCUGCAUAUACUCAAGUAUAGGCACAAAGGGGUUCAAAACUAACUUAAAACCCCAACAAACAACACAACCAAACACAUAUACAUGCUUUGACCACAAAUCAACCAAAACCUCAACUUACCCUAAACAUGCAUCUCUACUCAAAAACUCCAUAAACCCUUCAUAAAACAUGAAAAGAAGUUCAGGAUCUACACUUACCUCUUACAAACAAGAAGAUAAACGAUCCUAACGUGGAGAUAUGGAGAAACUCUCCCUCAAAGUCUCCAACUUCAAAACUUUUGGGUGAUUUGCUCAAAAGCUUCAAAACAACAUAAAACCCAUCAAAACUUUGCAAGAUUUGAAGAAAACAUGAAGAUCACCCAAGGAAGAACAUGAUCUCACCUCUGUCUGUGAAUGGAAAGAAAAAUCUUAUCCAUUCAUCGACCUAGGGCCUUUUAUAGGUGGCUGGUCAGACCACCUUCGGCGGCCAAACGUGAAACCAAAACCAUGCAACGUUCGGCGGCCGAACCUCACUUUCAGCGGCCGAACCUUGCAUUUCUUCUUUGGCUCUUUUCUUUCAAAAAACUCAUUUCCUUUUGUACUCAAAACCUUAAACCACUUAAAAACAUUUGAGAAAACCUUUCUUUUACCCUUCUAGGAACCUUCGACACCCUCGGAUUCCAUAUUCCAACGGAGCUCCCGCCGAAAAAUAAGAAUUCUGAUACCGGCGUCUAGCCGGGUAUUACAAACAUCAAAUCAAAAAUUGAAAUUCCUAAAAAAUUAUAAUGAAACAGAAUAAAAGCACUUCAAGUAAGAAAAUUUGCACAAAAACGUAUGCAAAUGCAAAUGAAGGAAGGAGAUAGUAUAUACCAUCAUUGCGGCGCUUGAAAACAUAAUGUUCCAUCUAGAAGUCGCAGUUCUUUGUGCAGAGGUGGACUUCAGCAGCCAACAUCAUCUGUAUAUCCAACUCUUUCUGGGACAGAGCCCGUGCUGGUUCUGGUGUUGUGCCGGUGGCCAUGGCUGCGCAAAGCAAAAGCUCGAUUGCUUGAGGGAGACGGAGCGAGAGUAUGACCAACAGAUGAGGUAAGAGUUCUUUAACCUAGAGGGAAGAAACUAGGGUUUUAAGGGCCCGUUGAAAUAUUAGCGCGUCUUAGGCAGACAAUUUUUAGGAAAUCCUAGACUCCAUUGAAGUUUAAAUAUUAAAGCCCCUUCAAAAUCCAUGUUGAUUUUUUUUAAAUGUCAUUCAAAUAUUUAAUUAUUUUAUAAAUUUAUAAUUGAAUUAUACUAAAUUCGAUAUCAAAUUAGUUUUCAAACAUUUUAUAUUUAAUGUAUUAAUAUUAUGUUAUCUAAUAUGUAUGAAUAUAUUUUCAUGAAAUUAGACAAUGUCCUAAAGUGUGAGGUAUGGUUUCUUUUAAAAUAAUUAUUUUAUAAGAAAUUUACAAUUUAAUUCUUGAGUAUUACCAUUAUUAACAAGUUAGUCCCUAUAUUUUCAGAAACAUAUUAAAAUGUUCCUAUCUUUUAUCUUCGUCAACAAAAUGAUCAUUCCGUCUACUUCUGCCGUUAAAAAUAUAGCAAAAGACCAAAUUACCCCCUUUUUCCCUCCUCCUCCUCCUCCUCCUCCUUCUUCUUUUUUAUCAAUUCUUCCUCCUCUUCUUAUUAUUCUUCUUUGAUUUUUCUUCGAAUUUUCUUUUUAUUCUUCUUCCUUAAGGAGGAGAAGGAGGAGGGGACUAUUCUUCUUUUUCUUCUUCUUUUUCUUCAUCAUCAUCUUCUUCUUCUCCUCCUUCUUCUUCUUUUUCUUCUUCUUUUUUUUUUUUUUCCUUUUUGAAAUAGGGAUUGGGGAGUAGAACUGAGACCUCUCAGAUUUACUCAUAUGCACUUACCACUAGACUAUGCCUGUGAGUGCAAGGUAUCAAAAUUAUUUGAUGAUUAUAAAAUUAUGAUUUACAUAUUUUUUUUUAAAGAUACAUGUCAGAAUAUAUAUAUAUAUAUAUACAUUUAAUAAUAAAGUUUAGAUGCCUUUUAGGAUACUAUUAAAACUAAUUGCCCGUCUAAGAUCAUUGAUAGAACUUAUUUUUUGUUUGAUAAUGCCAUUGAGAACACCAAUUUAACACAACUCUCUUACUGACUUUAAAUUGUAACACUAAAUUUUAAAAUCUUGAUUAACAAACAACUUUCUAACAAGUUUUUUAACACGUCUUUAAAUUGGUUUAGCACUAUUUAAAUUAACAGCAUAUUUUGAUGCAUGCCUUAACCAAAAAAAAAAAAUUCCGUAAAUAUACUAACCAAAACGUCCUAGCAAAUGUUUCCUAUUUAGCCUAAUCCUUGCAAGCUUUUCAAAACGGGAUUAAACUAAGCAAACUUACCAUAAAUACAUUCUAACUUCCAAUUUCUAUGUAUUCACUUCUUCAACAUGGCAAAUUAAGAAGUGAUCUCAACGAUUGCGAAUAAGAAAAUAUAGCAUUACUAUAUCAAGGUUUAUGUUAAAAUUUUAAAAUCCAAACGUCUACAACUUAGCUAUACUCUAGGUAAAUAUAAAAUAAAAAAAAGGGAAAUUUGAUGUUGCUUAAUCCCUCAAGCAAGUAAUAAUCACGAAUAAUAACAAUAAACAUGGUAUUGACGUUAUCUUGUUUCACUCAUCCUAGCCAGUAACAGAAGGUGCAGGUGCUACUGCAGUAGCAAAUUGGGGUGGAGCUGGUGCAACAUCCCAUUCACCUGAAGUAGGAACACAUAAAGAUAUUGUGUUAGGGGCCAAAAACACUACCACCAGCAUGGUGAAACGCAUGUAACAUUGCAAUGGUACAACAAAAAAUUGUAAAUAUAUAAACAGGAUCACAAGGUAGAUUAAAUGAAGUUUACUAGUGUUUGAAAAACUUAUACCUUGAUCUGGAUAUACGGCAGCAGGAACAGUUGAAAUAGGUGGUGGAACUGCUUCAGCAUUCUACUGGCCAUAAGUAAUUUGGGCACCCCAAUCAGCAGAAGCAAGUCCAAAAUUAGCAGCAGGGAGUGCAUAAUCAGCAACUGCUACCGCUUCCUCCUCUUCCUGUUUCUUAGUCUCCUCAGGUUCUCUGUAGAAGAAUAAGUCCACCUGCACAUGGAAAACAAAUAAAUGAAAAUGUAAUAAACCUAAAAGCUUGAAAUUGUAGCCAAUUAUGCAAACAAAGUGAAAAAAAUAUAACCAAAGAAUAUACUUUCAUGAGAAAGAAGCAUCAUAUAACUUGUCCAUAUGCACACAUAGCUAUGAAAUGUCGACAUAGAUUACAGGCCAAUAAACACAUAAGGUAACAGGAUGAGUGUUCACAUUAUCAAUUUGUAAAUAUCACAAAUCAGCAGAGAUGUUUGUAAAACGAGCAGCCAUUGCCAAAAAAACAGUUAUAUGAUAAUGUGCAUGUACCAUAACAUCUCACUUGUGCCCUUAAGGAAUAGUGCCACGCAUCUACAGAACCAUUCUUGCCAAGAGCCAAUAUAGGCAUUCAAUACUCUGCCUCCCUUUCAUAUUUCGCACUGAAAGCAAGACUUACGACAGCUAUCAAACGGUUGAAGCCACAACCUACAAAUUCACGUAGUAUCACAUAUUUAGACAAUGGUCAAAAUUUGUAUCUGAGUUAGAGUCGAAGGUGAUUUGAGUGGAAACACAAUGACCUACAGACAUUACGGAUACCACAGAUCUGAGAUCUCCUACUAAGCUAUUCCAACAUCAUUCAUAUGAUAAAAAAAACAUCAAAUAAAAAAUUGAAGUUCCUAAAAAAUUACAAUGAAACAGAAUAAAAGCACUUCAAGUAAGAAAAUUUGCACAAAAACAUAUGUAAAUGCAAAUGAAGGAGGGAGAUAGUAUAUACCAUCAUUGCGGCGCUUGAAAACAUAAUGUUCCAUCUGGAAGUCACAGUUCUUUGUACAGAGGUGGACUUCGGCAGCCAACAUCAUCGGUAUAUCCAACUCUUUCUAGGACAGAGGCCGUGCUGGUGCUACUGUUGUUCAGGUCGCCAUGGCUGUGCAAAGCCAGAGCUCGAUUGCUUGAGGGAGACGAAGCGAGAGUAAAACCAAAAUGAGGUAAGGGUUCUUUAACAUAGUGAGGUGAGGGAAGAAACUAGGGUUUUAAGGGCCUGUUGCAAUAUUAGCACAUCUUGGGCUGGUAAUUUUUAAAAAAGCCUAAACUCCAUGGAAGUUUAAAGAUUAAAGCCCCUUCAAAAUCCACGUUGAAUGUUUUUUCCAAAUGUCAUUCAAAUAUUUAAUUAUUUUAUAAAUUUAUAAUUGAAUAUACUAAAUUUGAUAUCAAAUUAGUUUUCAAACAUUUUAUACUUUAUGUAUUUAAUAUAAUAUUAUGGUAUCUAUGAAUAUAUUUUCAUGAAAUUAGACAAUGUCCUAAAGUCAGGUAUGGUUUCUUUUAAAAUAAUUAUUUUAUUUGAGGAAGAUUAAUCAAUAAAAUUAAGAUUUUCACGAGUUUCCUGUAGUGAUAUUUCUAUGAAGGUUUAAAAUCCCCUACUUUCUAACUUAGUUAAUGGAUUGGAAAUAUUUUAGAAUCUUACUUCUCAUUAUAUUUAUCUUAAUUUUAUAAAAUCUUACUUUUCUCUAUUAAAACAUAAUGCAAGGUUAACAAGCAUUUUAAUCAUGUAAAAAAAUAUUAUACAUAAAGUAAAAUAAUCUCAUAUCGUAUGCAAUUCUACUUUUAUUUGAACUCUUAAAGAUUCAACAAAAAAAAGAAAAUUUAAAGUAUUUUUUUAAAAUAAUCAAAUCACGAUAACAAAUGUAAAAUUUUAACAGCAUAAUUUAUAUAUUUUUAAGAACUUGAAAUUUCAGAAAAGGAAAAAGAGAACAUUAUACAUUACUUGAUAUGCAUACAUAUAAAUAUAAAUUACUUCAAGUUGAAACCUUAAUUUCUCAAGACUCCCACUCAUGAAGGCCUUCUUACAUGCCAUUAAAUAUUUAUUAGUGUUGUAAAGCUCAUAUACUUCUGAAGGUGUAGAGUUUGAGGCUCAAAACCUAUUAGAUAUGGAAGUAGGAAAACGUAGUUUGAGUCAUACGUUGUAGCGAAUCAACGUAUUUGAACUGAAAUUGAUUUUUUGGUUCAAGUCCGUGAGCGCGAGCUUUACUCCUCUUACUUGCCAUUUACAAACCCAAUAACAAAAAGUCAUUUAUAAACCAAGAGAAAAGUUUGUGGCUUUCCGAUGUGGGAUAAAAGUUUUUUAAAUAUAGAAUUUUAUAACAAUUCCCCACAAAUUUCAAAAAAUUUUCUUUGCUGGGUUUAAGUUUUGAGUGAAAAUGUUUGGAAUCUAGUAUAUUCUAGACUAUGAAUCAGUCUUAGACUGAUAAGAUAUAACAUACAGAGUAAUUGGUGAAGUUUUUGCUUCUAUGAAUUAAGUACUCUUUUUGUAGGCUGAAAUCUCAUCAAUCACAUUAUACUCCACAAUUCUUGCUAUUAACAUUGUAUUGCGUUAAAUAGGUCGUGCGCGCGCCUAGUAACUCAUAAGUGCUCUAAAGAUUAUGUCACAAUCUCAUAGGAGCGGCCCCACUCCACACUUACAUAGGUGAUACUAUCAAGUAUAUACUGCAAUUUAUACACCACCCAUAAAGGAUAUGAAUAUCAUUAAGAGAUUCCAUCUCAUCCUCUUAAUUAUUAAUGCAGUCUAGCAUUUCUCACACCAUAGGAAGGGACAACGACAAAUAGUGCUAGCAGAACUAACAAGUGACUUGUUAUUAUCCAUAUGAACCUUUUUCAUGGGAUCUCUAAUCACAAAGGUUGGGUUCCUAUUACUGUUAAUUUCAAAUUGGCUCAAGUUUCAUUCCACUUGAUGGUUUAUCUAUUAGUUUUCUCCCUAAAGGUUUAGUUCGCAGAUCGGCCAAAUUCACUUCUGACUUCACAUAAUCAAUGAAAAUAGUUUCAUCUUUCAGCAGCUGCUUAAUAACAUUAUGUUUUAAACAAAUAUGUUUAUUCUUAACAUUGAAAGUUUUAGUCUUUGUAAUGGCUAUUGCUCAUUGGCAAUCACAACGUAUUGAUAUAAAUGGUGUUGCUUUUAUUCCUAACGGAAUAUUUGCUAAGAAGUUUCUUAGCCAAUCAGCUUUAGUUCCAGCUAAUUUCAGAGUAAUAAACUACGACUCUAUAGUGAAUUUAGCAAUAAUAUUUUGUUUUGUUGAUUUCCAUGCAAUUGUACCACCUCCUAGAGUUAGUGGAUUUUAUUUCAUCUGAAUCUAAAAUCCAAUUAGUAUCACUAUAUCAUUCUAAUACAGCGAAAAAUCCACUAUAUAAGAUUUCAUAGUUCAUGGUACCUCUCAAAUCUUUCAUUAGUCUAACUAAUGCAGCCCAAUGAUCGUCAUUGGGAUUAUGUGUAAACCUACUCAAUCUACAUACAAUAUAAGCUAUAUCAGAUCGUGAAAAAUUCAUUAAAUGCAACAGAUUUCCAAUGAUUUGUACAUAUUUAAAUUGAGCAUCAGAGUCACCUCUAUUUUUCUUUAAUUGAGAGUUAGGAUCAUAAGGGGUGCUCACUGAUUUGACAUCGAAAUGUCCAAACUUUCUUAGAAGCUUCUCAAUAUAAUGCUCUUAUGAUAGCAUUAUACUAGCAUAAUUCUUUACGAUUUUAACUCCCAAAAUCACAUUUGCCUCUCCCAUAUCUUUCAUAUCAAAUUUAGAGGUAAGAAAAAUUUUUAUUUUACAAACUAUACCAUAACUCGUACAAAAAAUAAGUAUAUUAUCCACAUAUAAAUAAAUAAUCACAGAUUCACCAUUUAUACGUUUUGUAUAUGCGCACUUAUAAACUUCAACAGAGAAAAAACCAUCAUUUAAUAAAACUUGAUCAAAUUUCUCAUGCCACUAUUCGGGUGCUUGUUUUAAACCACAUAAGGAUUUGAGAAGUUUAUAAACUUUAUUUUCUUGACCAAAAAUAAUAUAACCAUCAGGAUAUACAAUAUAAAUUUCUUCUUCCAACUCUCCAUUUAAAAAAAUUAUUUUAACAUCCAUUUGAUGAAUAACAAAUUUAUGUAUAGAAACUAAAACAAUUAAUACUCUAAUAAAAGAAAUUCAUGCUAUAGGGACAAAGGUGUCAAGAUAAUCUAUACUGAGAUGCAUGAUGACCCGACUUACCACAUACAAAACAAUGUCCUUUCUUUUUAAAUGUGUGAUUAUUAAACUUAGUCUUGUAAUCAGGUUUUUUAUUUUCGUAUUUGUUAUUUGACUUGUUCACUUUCCUUGUACAAUAUUUAUUCUUGUAGUUAGCUCUUUGCCUUUUGUAGUUUUGAGUUUCCUCCCGUCUAUAUCUUCAAUGAUUAUAUGGGUGAUGAGAUCUGACGGUAUCAACUACUUAUGCUUGUGUUUCAAUUGUUACUAACAAAUUUAUGUAUAGAAACUAAAACAAUUAAUACUCUAAUAAAAGAAAUUCAUGCUACAGGGACAAAGGUGUCAAGAUAAUCUAUACUGAGAUGCAUGAUGACCCGACUUACCACAUACAAAACAAUGUCCUUUCUUUUUAAAUGUGUGAUUAUUAAAUUUAGCCUUGUAAUCAGGUUUUUUAUUUUCGUAUUUGUUAUUUGACUUGUUCACUUUCCUUGUACAAUAUUUAUUCUUGUAGUUAACUCUUUACCUUUUGUAGUUUUUAGUUUCCUCCUGUCUAUAUCUUCAAUGAUUAUAUGGGUGAUGAGAUCUGACGGUAUCAACUACUUAUGCUUGUGUUUCAAUUGUUACUUGUAGUCACUCCAAGAAUUUGGUAAUUUUUCUAUCAGGAAUUCAGCUACAAAUUCAUCUUGUAGAGUGAUGUUUUCAACUUUAAGAUCUUUUAGAAGUUUAUGGUACUCAUUGAUUUGCAUUUUGAUAUCUUUUCUUCAAUUAUUUUCCAUUUAUAAAAAUUACCAAUUACAAAUUUUUAUUUUUCAGCAUCCUUGGCAGUAUAUUUUAGGUUCAUCAAAUCCUAUAUUUCUUUUGCUUACUUGUAGGAAUAGUAGACAUCAAAGAGAUCGUUAGAAAGAAUACUAACUAUUAUAUGCCUAUACACCUUAUUAGAAUAUAUCUAGAUUUUACACAAUUUUGGAUCAAUAAAAGGUGCAGAUCUUGAUUCUGUGAGUGUUGAAGCUACGCUAUGCAUGUCAAGCAUUGAAAAAAUUAUCUCUUGCCAUCUCUUGAAAUUCUAACUCGAAAAGACUUCAAUUUUCGUUUGACAUAUGGAACCGUAGGUAGAAGAGACCCACUAUUUGCAGCAGUAGAAAACGUGGCGGCAGGAAGCACAGCAGAAGCAGAGGCAGUGACAAUGUUAUUGGAAGCAGGUAGUGCAGAAACAAAAAAAGUAACAACAUUUGGUUCUAUUUGUUUAAAGUUUUAAAUAAUCCUUAAGAUUGUUAGAUAUGGAAAUAGAAAAACGUAGUCUGAGUCAUGUGUUGCACUCUCUUUAAUAUAACCCAACAGGUAAAGCAAGAUAGAAAAGUAAAGAGUGCAUAGAAAAACAAUUAUCUAUGAACUGUAAAAGUAAAAUCUAUUUAUAAUCGUAGAAAAAGAAAUAUGAAAAUUGUUUAGAAAAAUAAGAAAAGACAUUAAAAUUAUUAGAAAAAUCUACUCAAAGAUUAAAUUUGUUUAAAAAAAUCAGCAAAAACGUUCAAAUAAAAAUCUCACAAGAGUUAUAAACGAUUUGAAUUUAAUAAAAAUAAUUAUUUAUCGAUAAAAUUCAAAAAAACAAAUAAAUAAAAAAUAAAAAUUUUAUAAUUUUAUUUAUCUGCAUAUAAAAAAAAAUAAAUUGACAAAUUCAAAUUAAAAUUAACUUUUUAAUCCAAAUUCAUGCGCGUGAAUUUUACUUCUCCUAUUUUUUUUUUACCAUUCUAAUAAUAAAAAAACCAUUUAUGAAAAAAAAAAAAUUAUCUUUUCAAUGUGGAAAAAAAAAGCUUAUGAAAUAUAAAAUUUUACAAUAAAACCUUAAAUUCCCACAAAUUAAUCUAGGAAAGUUAAUUUCUUGCUUUUUGCAGUCCUAUAUAAGCCCAAAAGAAAAGCCUGAAUUCUUGAACAAUGACCGUUCGCUAAAUACAGAACAGGUAGCAAAAUUAAAACGCGCAUGCACAGAACAGAAGUACAUUUCAAAUACCAACAUCCACAUAUUGCAAACAAAUUUUGACAUUAACAUCGGUCCUUCAAUUUCAAGCACAUUAAACUCCACUUAACAACAAAGAGCUACAGGCCCUAAGAUCCUAAACCCAUCUACCGAACAAAAUGCACAAACAGAGCCCUCUGUCUCUCCAUUUAAGACACAGUAACCUCAACUUUUUUGGCCUUGGGUGGUGGAGGAUGCUUCUCAACAACAACUGUUAGAACCCCAUUUUCGCAUUUGGCAGUAAUGGCAGAUACAUAGGCAUUUUAAUGGGAGAGAAUGCGGUACCAAAUAUAAUGGGAGACGAAGGAAAGUUCGAGAGGAGAUAUAGGAAGAGUCGGGAAGAAUCGCAAGCAUUAUGGAGUGAUCCCGUGUGUGCACGUGUACUUGUUAGGGACAUUGUGGAAUCUUGUUGAGUAGAUAUUUAAAACGUGGUGUGAAUGAGAAGGGUAGGGUGGCUAAUGAUGUUGAGACAGAACAAAUUGUUUUUGAAGAUGUUCCUGAGGGACAUCCAGUGCAAAUAAGUUCUAUUGUACAAGAUCGGGGUUCAAUUCCACUUUUCUGGUCCCAGGAAACUUCACGAUUGCAUAUUAAACCUGAUAUUAUAUGUGUGAUUUCGGCAGACUUAAAUUGUGAUAAUCUCAGUGGUAAUUUUUCAUAAAAUAUGCUGAUUUCUUGUUCUGUUCACAGUAUUGAAGAAAGACCAAAAUUAUGAGGCUACGAAGCUUCAUUUUGAAAAUCUUGUAAAGAGAUAUUGAAAUCCGAUAAUCAUUUUGAAUUUAAUAAAGGUAGGCCCCAGCAAUGUUUAAGAGAAAAAUUGUUACGUAUGUGCAUGACCAUGCAUGUAAAUGGAUCAUAAUCUUUUGGCAACUGUGUUCAUGACUGACAGACACAUGAAAAGAAGCCUCGAGAAAGUAUACUCCGCACUGAGUUUGCUAAUGCUAUCAGAUACAUAAAUAAAGGCUUAUCGGAGGAUAAGCGCCUUAGGUUCCUCCACUGGGAUUUGCAUAGACAUUCCAGAAAGUAUUAAGCUCGCAUUAGUCCUCCUUGUUUUUCCCUUCUCCAAUUACUUUUGGUGUUAUUGAUGUGAAUAUUAUUUGGUUGUUUUUGAACAGAGCUACCAAUGUAUUGUCACUUCUAGGGAAAGUGGCAGCAUAUGCGUUGAACUUGACUGGCAUCUUUUAUUGUCAAGUCACACCAAGUUUAAGGCCCAUUGGGUUUUUGUAUUCAUCUGAGUAAGUAAUGCUGCUGACUUCUUUACAGCAUUUUUCAUCUCUUAUGACAAGGUUUUCUGUGCUUUGAUUGUCCAUUUAAACAAUCUUUUGGCAUUGCUUUUGAACCUAUUUAUAAUUCACAGCAUUUGAUUUAUGAUUUGUUGAAUUGUAACGGCAAAGAUUCAUAAUGCUCAUUUAUUAUUCGAGGUUGGUGCUUGACCAGCUUGGGGAAUGCUUUUAGACAUUUAUAUUUGCUGGCUUAUGCCUUGAGGAAUAUUGUACUCCAUUAGCAACUUCUCAUUUUAGCCAAAUUACUAUCAUUUCUGCUUAAUUAUUGCUAGCUAUUUAUGCUGUUGGCAAUGUAAAUAUUCUCCAGAAAAAAUGAUGAUGAAUGCUCUCUCAAAAUUACUUCCAAUGAAAAUGACUUGAGAAGGAAUUUGGACUCAGGAAUUACCAAUGCUUGUUCUGAAGAUGACAUAAAUCAGAGUAUCAAGACCCCUAUGUUUCAAAAUGGGGUGCUAAGGACCAAUUGCAUAGACUGUUUAGAUCGCACAAAUGUUGCCCAACAUGCCUGUGGUCUGGUGGCUCUUGGUCAUCAACUGCGUGCUCUUGGAUUAAUAGAAUCAGAAAAUAUUGAUUUAGAUAAUCCGUUAGCAGAGGAUUUAUUGGGGAUCUUUGAGACAAUGGGUGACACACUUGCAUUACAGUAUGGUGGCUCUGCUGCACACAACAAGGUAAUUCUUUCUGAAUAAGGUUGAAUUUAAAAUUUUUAGAUAUUACACAAUGCAACUGGGAUUAGAGAUAUUUGCUUGUAAUAUGUUUGCCAGUAGGUCUAUUGCCUUUGUUCUGUUUGAUGAAUUUGAUGUAUUUGAUUUCUCCAAGAUUAUAAACUUGUGGCUGUGGCUGUUGCUCUUUAGUGAAUAACAUAGAAGUGUAGAAUUUUAGAAACAGCAAAGAAAUUGUGCGUGGUAGUUUUUAAUAAGUAUAUUUUAAAGUGUGAAACAAAUGAGUAUGAUCUAUCAACCAUGCCAACUGGUGGUGUUAUUAGGUUUGAAAUUUAAUUUAACUUAAGUAACUUCGCAUGCAGUCAUCUAUUUGGUUGUGCCGAGGAAAGAACAAAGAGUUUAAUUUUGAUGUCUGAACCUGUCCAUCAGUGAUGAAGUAAGCAAGCUGAGUGAGUUAAGACAAAUUAUUUAGUAUAGGAAGCAAUUUAGAUACUAAUAUUAUUAGUUAAUCAUUUUAAAAGUAGAAGAAUUAUAUGCUUUUCCUAUCUUUAUUCUUAAAAUAAUUUAUUUACCACUCCUUGGGACAGCUGUAGUUUGGAACUUUACUUCUAACAUUUGAACCCCUUCUUGUAGGCUCAAAUAAACUACUUUUUCAUUAGAGUGAAAUCCAGUUGAUAUUGGGUUACAAUUUGCCCUUUGGCAUAUCGGAUGAGACUCAUUUGUUCUUUUCCCGUCUAGAUGCUUUGAUUUCUCUAGACUAGAAUUCGUUGGUUCCCGUUUGUCACUGUUUUGAAAUGAUGUUAACAGAUAUUUUAAGAAAGGAGAGGCCAGAGGAAAGCUGCAACUCAGUCCCAAGAGUUUUUUAGAACUUUACAGCGUUAUUACAGCAAUGCAUACAUGGAUGCUGAAAAACAAGACGCUAUUAACGUGUAAGUUAAAUCUGCUUUCUUUUCAAAAGCAUCAGAGUUUUUCCUGGAAUAGAAGCUACAAGGCAUUCUCAAAUUUUGAUAUGAGGUGCACUGGCAUGGGAAAGUUACUUGUUUAACAUGACAGUAAUUUUUAAGCAGAUUCUUGGGUCACUUCCAGCCACAACAGGGAAAGCCAGCAUUAUGGGAAUUGGAUUCAGAUCAGCAGCACAAUGUUAGAGGACAUGGUCCUGAUUUGGUUGAUGAGCGUGCUAGGUACUAUAUUCCUCAUGAUUGCAAAUAUUCUCCGCAUGAAAAUUUUGUUCAUCAGCAAACAAUGCGUUAGUGCUACUGUGGUUUCCUUAGAAACUACAAAACAUUUCAGAAAAUCAUGUCAGAAAUUCGCACAUUUUGCUUUUAUCAGAUAAUAGAAAUAAGUAAUCAUACAAAAAGAGGAUGGAGCUUCUGAAUGCAGGAGAACCCAUUUAACACAUAGAUCACAGACCUCUUCAGUUGAAAAUCUCUCUCAAUUGUAUGGAUCCUGUUCUACUGUUAUUGUACAGAUAAAUUUCUCAGCUUAAAGCUAAUUUUUUUUUUUUUUUCAUGAUUCUCUUUUUUUUUUUUUAUAAAAUUAUUGUUCUCGCAUCUUAUGAAAUCAUUCAGUAUUUUUAUCUUGAAAAUUGCAGAUGACCAUUUCAUAUUUGUGUCUCAGUAGAAUUUGUGUGCUUUUGGGCCAGGAUAUACAAUGCAAACUGAUCCAGGACCAAGAGUUCCUUUUUUGAAUUUCUAACAUUGAUUUCUGCUAUCUUCAGGUCAUUCAUUAAAAGGUCACUAUCAGAUUGGGAGCUUUUUUUCAAUUCAUGUAUAAUAAAAAAAAUAUUUAUUAAACCACGCAGAAUCCGAAAAUAUUUUCGAAUUCUUUGUGUCAAACAAAUAUGUUCGACACUAUGAUUGUCGAACACGCUUGUUCGACACUCAUAGUGUCAAACAAAGUACGGAAGCAUGUUGUUCGACACUAUUAGUGUCGAACAACAUGCACAGCUCAUUCACGUCCAAGCCGUCAAGCCGUCAAGGUGUCCAUCAAAUUGCUGGACAUGUUCGGGUCCUUCCUCUAACAGUUUUAUAUAAAAAUAAUAUUUUAUUAAUUUUUUAAUUUUUUAUAAAUUUAAAAAUUAAUUAAUAAAUUUUUUAAAAUUAUAAAAUUUAAAUUAAAAAAAUUUAAAAAUAUUUUUUAAUUUCAAAUGCUUUUCAUUUUUAUUUAUUAAAAUUUAGCCUUUAAAUAAUUAAAUUCUUUUAAAAAUAUAAAAAAUAAAUUAAAAAUAUUUUAAAAAUAUUUUUUGACGGCUUAAAUUUUCUGCAAUCCAUUGCUUCAUANNNNNNNNNNNNNNNNNNNNNNNNNNNNNNNNNNNNNNNNNNNNNNNNNNNNNNNNNNNNNNNNNNNNNNNNNNNNNNNNNNNNNNNNNNNNNNNNNNNNNNNNNNNNNNNNNNNNNNNNNNNNNNNNNNNNNNNNNNNNNNNNNNNNNNNNNNNNNNNNNNNNNNNNNNNNNNNNNNNNNNNNNNNNNNNNNNNNNNNNNNNNNNNNNNNNNNNNNNNNNNNNNNNNNNNNNNNNNNNNNNNNNNNNNNNNNNNNNNNNNNNNNNNNNNNNNNNNNNNNNNNNNNNNNNNNNNNNNNNNNNNNNNNNNNNNNNNNNNNNNNNNNNNNNNNNNNNNNNNNNNNNNNNNNNNNNNNNNNNNNNNNNNNNNNNNNNNNNNNNNNNNNNNNNNNNNNNNNNNNNNNNNNNNNNNNNNNNNNNNNNNNNNNNNNNNNNNNNNNNNNNNNNNNNNNNNNNNNNNNNNNNNNNNNNNNNNNNNNNNNNNNNNNNNNNNNNNNNNNNNNNNNNNNNNNNNNNNNNNNNNNNNNNNNNNNNNNNNNNNNNNNNNNNNNNNNNNNNNNNNNNNNNNNNNNNNNNNNNNNNNNNNNNNNNNNNNNNNNNNNNNNNNNNNNNNNNNNNNNNNNNNNNNNNNNNNNNNNNNNNNNNNNNNNNNNNNNNNNNNNNNNNNNNNNNNNNNNNNNNNNNNNNNNNNNNNNNNNNNNNNNNNNNNNNNNNNNNNNNNNNNNNNNNNNNNNNNNNNNNNNNNNNNNNNNNNNNNNNNNNNNNNNNNNNNNNNNNNNNNNNNNNNNNNNNNNNNNNNNNNNCUGCGUGAUUUAAUAAAUAUUUUUUUUAUUAUACAUGAAUUGAAAAAAAGCUCAUCAGAUGGCAAUCUUCUUUGUGAAAGUGACUCGCUUGUAACAGCUACCAAGGUUGCACAUAAUAAGGCUUUUUCCGAGGAGCAAGGAGUUUGCAAGGGUCUUUCAGAUUCAACUCCAGAGAUCUCCACCUGUGAAAGUGAUAUGUCAUACUCUAGGUCUGUAUUAAAUCACAUCUCCAUACUUGUUACUUCACCACAUCACUUUUUGAUACAAUACACCCAUGUUAAAACACAUUGUAAAGUAGCAUAUGUAAAUGCUAAUGCCCAAGAAAGCCAGGCUUGUAAGUGUUAACCAGCUUUUCAAAUUUAGCAUGUAAUAAUUACAUUCAACAGUCGGUAAAUUUAAUGUUCAUGAACUCUGAUGAGAGAGCAUUCAACUGCAUUGCUGCUGACAGAAUGUUGGUUGUCAAUUUAGGUAUACUCCCUCAAUGCCUCGCAUGCAACUUUUUAAAGAUAUAGGGGAAGAAUACUAUGAAAGUGAUCCUAUUUGCUAUGAUGAACAUGGGGAUGCAUGUAGUUGCUCAAAUUUUCUUGACUUGGACUGGCUUUCUUCAUCAGGGAAUUCUUGUGAAGGAGAUCCUUUCGAUAGGUAAGUUUAUGGUUCCACCGAGUUCUUGAACGCAGUGGCUUACAAAUAAUAGUUAACGCCCAUUGAUGUUUUAAUGGUUGCAGGUCAAUUGCUGGCCUAUCACAUGAUUGUCUUGUGAAUGAACUGAAACGCGAAAUAUCUGCCAGUGAGUCUGGAUCUAGCUCGAAGGUUAGUGUUGAAUAUCUGACACUUACGACAUAGCGGUUCCACGGGAGGAUGUCUAUAGAUGAUAAAUUAAUUUCAAUACAUGCUUCUAGGCAGAUAAUAAUCAUUUUACGUUUCGUUGAGAAAAUUUUCUUAAUUAUAUUAGAAAUAUUAAAUAUUAAAUUGAAAAAAUUACUAUUUAGUCCAUACUAUAUUUAGUAUGGAAAAACUCAUUAGUUAGACUUUUGAUUUUAAAAAAUGCAUUAAAAUGUCCCUAACAUUUUAAAAAGUUUAUUAGGUAUUUCUUCCAUUAAUUUUAAUCGUUAAGAAUUAUAAAAAAAUUAAAAUAUUUAAGGAAUUAAUUAGUAAACUUUUUAAAAAUUUGAGAGAUCAACUAAUAAGUUUUUCAAAAUUAUAAGAACUAAAUAGUAAAAUAUUUAAUAGCAAAAUUAACAUUUGAAAAAUUAUAAGAACUAAAUAGUAAAAUAUUUAAUAGCAAACCUAGCAUUUGAACUAAGUAGUAGACUUUUUAAAAUAUUAAAAACGGUUUAAUAUAUUUUUUAAAAUUAAAAAAAUAAUUAAUGAAUUUUAUCAUAUUAUAGGAAUAAAUUUUCCGUAAGAAUAUCAAUAUAAUAAAACAACAUUUUCCCUAUGGUAUCUAAAAUGAUGUUUUUCUAAAAAACAAUUCUGGUUUUGCACAUCAGUUAUAAUCUUAUAAUUUGCGUGGCUGCGUUAGUUUCAAAUAUUAAUUUAGCAUAUUCCUUUUACCUCUAGGGAAGAAAUCAAACCGGGACUGACAUCUCUUCCGAAGACGAGACAGUCAGAGAGGUGGAUUUUCAGAGCGGUUUCUAUGGUGGGUAACACAUGGGGAGACACUUUUUCAAAUAAGUUAGUUAUUUUGGAUUUGAGAUGAUAGUAAUUUAUCCGAUUUCUUUGGUCCCAUCCGAAAGAUGUGAAUUACAUAAUAGAGAAUAAAGAGUAGGAGACCUUCCUAAAGAUAAGAAAGGCACCGGCAUCUCCUGAAACUAUGUACUGAAUUACUGUAAUGGUAGUGUCU